UGUGACUAACUCUAGAUAAGGAGGAAUUCUACACUGUCACACUUGCACCACGUCAUCAAUAACAAGCCAAUCACAUUCCUUCUUUUCAAACAAAAGUACAAUAAAAAUAUAUUUUUACAACCAUGAUGGGACAUAUAUUCUUAAAAGGAUUAAUUUGAUUGGUUUGUUACGUCACGUCACUGAUAUACCCGUUGCAUUCUAGAAUUUUUCCUAGAUAAGGGUGUAAGGUCUCGACCCAAAACGGACUAGAAGCCAGCCUGGCCCAGCUUUAAAUUCGGGUCGGGCCUGUCGCUCCGGCUGGUCCAGGCCUCUCGCCCGGAGAACACUGUCCGUGCCGAGCUGAGCCAUGCUCCGAGACGGCCCCUUACUUUUUUUUUCAAAAAUAUAUAAAAUUUAAAAAUAUGAAAGAUUAAACCGGUCCUAUUUAAACUGAUAUUAUGAUUAAAAAUAUUUAAAAUUUACAAUAAUUAUUAUAAAAUAACAAAAAUUUUAAGUUGUUUAUAAAAAAAGGUGAAUUGGGUUCCUGGGACCAAAACCCACUCUUCCUUAUGUAUGGAGCAUUGGUAUGCACCAGGUGCAAGUAAACAAUUUCUCCUCUUUUAAAAUUGUAAGUACAUCCUAUUAAAUAUUCUUGAUACAAAGUAUACACUAUACAACAUUGUACUACAUUCCAUAAUGGUUUAAUUACAACUUUUCAUAAUGGCUUAACUACACUAUACUAUAUUGUACUUUAGUGUUAUCUUUUUUUUGUUAUAUUGUACUAUUUUUUUUUUUUUUCAAAAGCCUCUAUAUUUACCAAAAUCACCAUGUGGUUAUUAGUCUAUAUUUGCUGACGUGGCAAAUAUUGUUUGGUGCUGAAGUGGUAGCUUUUUUUUGUUAGAGUUAAGGAACUUUUUGAUAGUAGAUAAUUAAUUGAAAUAAAUGGUGAAAGUCAGGGACUUGAUUGAAAAAAUCGUACGCUUGGAGACAAAAGUAUGAAAAUUUGAGUAAAAAGUUGGGGACCAAUGGUUGAAUUAGUUUAAUCUAUACUAUAUCUAUAGCUAUACUAUAUAUAAAAUCAUACAAAAAAUUUUACAAUAAUAGACUGAAUUGGAAAAGGAAUAAAAGAAUAUGCCCUGCGAAUGGUUAUAAUCAAUUUAUUAAAAAAAUUUUAAGAAACAAUGAUCGGUUAUGAUCAAUCUGUUAAAAAAUAGCAUUUCUAUCCAUCUAUAAAUCCAAUCAUAUGAGCGGUUAUAAUUAAUUUGUUAAAACAUAUCUCAACAGAAAUGAAUGGUUAUGAUCAAUCUGUUAAAAAAUAACAUUCCUAUUCAUCUAUUUUAAAUUAAAAUUAAAAUUUGAAUUUAAAUCGUGAAUCAAAUUUAAUUUUGGAUAUCAAAUUUGAAUUAACAAUUAAAAAAUUUUAAUUACAGUGGAUCAAAAUUAAAUUUUAGAUUUUAAAGUAAAUGUGAAUUAAAUUUGAUUUUUUUAGUUUAAAACACAUGCUUAAAUUGUAGAUUCAUCAUAAUUCAAAAAUAUAUAAAAGUAUUCAAUGUGUAUGAAAAAAAAGAAAAAUACAAGAUAUUGCAGAUAUCUUCUAAUAAAAUAUUACAUAUAAAUUUAUAAAAUAUAUUUUUUAUUGCAAGUUUUUAAAAUAUAUAAAAAUAUUCAAUGUAAAUAAAAAAAUAAUAUAGAAUAUUAAAAAUUGUAAGUUUUUAAAAUAUAUGAAAAUAUUCAAUGUAUAUAAAAAAUAAUAUAGAGUAUCGUAGAUAUCUUCUAAUAAAAUAUAACAUAUAAAUUUAUGAAGUAUAAUUUUUAUUGUAGAUUUUUGGAUAAAUCUAAUGUACAAAUUUAUAUUGAUUUCAAAUAAAUUAAAAUAAUUGUUACAUAUAUGUGCACGUACGCUCAGCUAGUAUAUAUAAAAACAAAUAGAAAAUUUAACGAUAACAGUCCGAAUCAAAAAGAGAGAAUAAAAAAAAUAUUUUAUCUAUAUUUUAAAAAAAGAAUAAUAUCUAAUAUGUCUUUCAAAACUUUAAAAUAUCUUAUUUAAAUCCUAUCGGACCAUAAUAGCCUUGUUGAUUUUAAAAAAUUUCCACUAAUGAGAAUGGGUUUUUGAAAUAUAAUUUCAUAAUUUCAGAAUAAAUUUAAAAAUUUGAAUAAUAGUCAGGGGUAAAUAAUCAAAAGCUUCUAGAAACACACCAUAUUCCAUAUAUAUUACAAAAAAAAAAACCAUCAGAUACCUAGCUACCAUAUGUACUAUACCAUUUGAUACAUGUAUGGAUACAGUCCAACUGAAUGUAAGUUAAUUUAAAUUCUUCCAAUCAUGGAAUUAAAGUGCUUACAAUCCUGCAACUUGUUCAUCUUGCAAAUAUAACGCACAUUGCACGUGCACUAUAACUAGUUCUAAAUGAAUAGUAAGAGUAAUUUUAUUCUUGUUCUCUUUUUUUAUAAGAACCAGUGGUUCUACAAUUCCACAGGCGAAAUUAAAUUAAAAAAAGUACAUAUCCUGCUAACAGCAAAUUUAUGAGAACACAAACUUCAAAAUCCAUUUCCACUAGCACACAAUAGAAUACAUAUACCAGUAUUUAUUUAUACAUAAUUCUUCAACUUCUACUAUAUAAUCUUAGCGCCUCUCAGUUGCGAGCAAGAAACCUAUAAUACAUCUUAUCGAUCAUGAAAAAGUAAGUAUUUCUCCACGUAGAUUUGAAGAGCAAGAUACCAUAAACAGCCCAAAGCCCCACCAAAAAUCCCAAUCCCAUGCCGAGAUAAAUUUCUAUGUUCUUCACGCCACCACUAUGUUUCUUCUCAGGAGUAUAUGUUAUUUCAUUUCCAAAGCAAGUCUUCGAAAUAGGGGGACCACAAAGAUAGGGAUUGCCGGCAUAUAUAGUUGGAUCAACCAGUGUCUGCAUUUGAUCUCCAGAUGGAAUCCUUCCUGAGAGGUUAUUGUAUGAUAAAUUUAAGCUGCUCAAAGAUGUCAAGGCCGUUAUACUUUGAGGGAUGGUUCCAUUUAAUUCAUUCAUAGAAAGAUCGAGAGACUCCAAAGAUUGUAAGUUUCCUAUCUUAUCAGGAAUCCUUUCCUUUAAGUGAUUUCUUGAUAAGUUCAAAUUGCUCAGCGCUGAUAGAUCGACUAAUUCCUCAGGAAUCACACCACAAAGGUUAUUACCUGAGAGGUCCAUGCUCGCCUCAAGAUAGAGGUUCUUGAAAAAUUGAAGAUCCAACCCUUUUCUUGCAAUAUAUACUUUUUCACUGGUAGAAUUUGGAUACAGCAGGUAGUCUAAUGAACUUUCAUCUCUUAUUAUAGGUGUUGGAAAACUAAAAUCCAAAAGAAAAAGUGUUUGAACCGUGUAUUUAGCUAACUUGGUUGAAGCCACUGCAGAGAAAUUACCAAAUGAUUGGGGUAUGUAUCCUGAUAAAUUAUUCCAAGAAAGAUCUAAGAUUUGAAGAUUCUCAAGUUGCCCGAGCUCUGCAGGAAUGUUGCCGACAAACAUAUUGGACAUCAACCGCAGUAUUGUAAGCUCUGUUAACUUUCCUAGCCACGUAGGAAUCUUGCCCGAUAACUUGUUUUUCCCAAGAUCAAUGAAUACUAAUGAGCAAUACUGUAGAGAAGAAGGAAGCUCUCCAUAUAUGGUGUUGUUGUUCAAGUGCAAGAACUCAAGAUUACUAACAGAGCCCAAUGAAUCUGGAAGUUGUCCUGAUAGCUUGUUAUUGGAUAAGUUUAUAAAAGUCAAACUAUUUGAUGCACCAUUCCAGCAAUUUGGCAGUUUACCAAAUAAAUUGUUGUUCGACAUGUCAAGUAUGGACAAAGAUUGCAUGUUGCAUAUAUAUGAUGGAAUGUUACCACUUAUGGAGUUGUUCGAGAGAAGAACGAUUGCAAGAUUUGGCCUGAAGAAAGACCUUGGAAGUGAUCCAGAAAACAUAUUGUUUGAGAAAUCAAGCCAUAUCAAAGAAUCAGACAGAAAUGGUAAGAAUCCAUGUAAAUGGUUAGAACCUAAAUUUAACACCUUAAAUGAUGUCAUAUUUUCUAAGGAAGAUGGCAACAUGCCGCUAAUUUGGUUAUUGGAAAGGUGUAAGAUCACGAUAGAUGAAGAUGUGUUCCAAAACCAAUAAGGAAUAGUGUCUGCGAUCCCGCUGUCCGACAAAUCUAAGAGUUCAAUCUCUUGUUGCAAUUGGAGCCAUCUUGGAAAUCGUGGACCCAAUCGACAUGAGCUCAAAACUAAUUCUUGCACUUGAAAAGGAGGCACCCAAUUAUCCUCCACCCUCACCUCAAGAGAUGUACUACUCACCGAUAUAAACUUUAAUCUUGUGAAGUUCAUAAGAUGAGUUUCAUGUAAAACCCCAGUAAACGAAUUUCCACGGAGAUUAAGCAAAGUUAGAUUAGAUAGUUUAUUUAUCCCUAUAGGUAUCGAACCAUUGAGGAAGUUAUUGCUGACAUCGAGAUAUAUAAGACUUGUCAUAUGUUCGAGCCAGCCAGACAAAUUUCCCUUUAUAUUUGUAUUAUGUAAAUACAAUAUUUGGCAAUUAUUAGGAGAGACGCAAGAGAGUUCUGACAAAAAUUCGUUUAUAUCUUUAUCAACAUUAUAUCCGGACAAACUUAAAGUGUUUAAUUUGCAAAGGUUUUGGAUUGAAUUUAGUACCGGGCCGACCAAGUUGUUGAAUCCUAAAAACAAGGAAGUAAGUGAAGUCAAUUUGCCUAAUUCAAUAGGAAUUGGACCAUAAAAAUCGUUAUUAUUGAGAUUGAGAUAAGUUAGGCUAGUGAAGUUCCACAGCCAAUCGGGCAAGGUGGAGUUGAAGAAGCUAUGUUGGAGAUCAAGUAUGCUCAAACUUGUUAAGUUAAAAUUGGAAAUGGGGUCAGGAUUGCUCGGAAGAGCGCACCUCACUAAGCAAAGCACUUGCAAUGAAGAUAGCAUGUUCACUGCUUGUAACCAAUCAUUUGCAUUUUGUAGCAUCACAGAGGUCAAGUCAAGGUACUUUAGAGAAGAGAGACCUUUGAUCCACGAUAGUUUGCCAUGAGAGGUAGUACUAUAGUAAUUGUACAUAUAACUAAGGUCGAGAUAACGAAGAGUUGACAAGUUUCCAAGUUCAGGAGGUAUCGCUCCAGUAAAACCCGCAUUAGAGAGGUUAAGAUAUCUCAAGUUCUUAUAUGAAGUGAUGAAAUUAGGGAAACUGGUAUUGAAGUUAUUCAUGCUGAGAUCUAAGUGCUUCAAGUGGCUUAAAGAUAGCAAUGAUGGAUUGACCUCACCACCAAAACCUCUGUAGCUUCUAUUUGAGGAAGUUGCACAAGGGAAUCCGAGUUUGAGCUUCUCAACUCUGCUAGUCUUAUUGUUGCACCAAACUCCCUUCCAUCUGCAGCAGUCAGAGCCUUCCCAAGAAGACAAGCAGUUUAGUGGAUCGAUGACACCGGACUUGAAUGCGAGAAGCGCCUCGCGCUCUACACUGAGGCAUCCGUAGCUCUCCAAGAUUUGGGUUUUUAGAAGGCAAACCACGAAUAAUAUUACAAAAAGUUGCAUGCUUGUAGUUUCAAACCUCAUGCUUCAAGCACCAGAAGCUCUCAAUAGGAAGGUAUAUAAAAUUACUGGCUCAAACUAUGUAUAUAUAGUUGCUGUACAUUAUAGAUUGGUCAAAUUUUGAAUGGAAUCUUAGGGCCAAUUUGGUCCUAUUGCAGGUUGUAGUUUGCUGGAUGAAGUACUAUAUAAGUAGCACUUUUAGAAGAAUUAUUGUAUUAAAAUUCUGUCGAUAGUUUCUAUUUACAGUAGAAUUAGAAAUACCAAGUUACAACUUUUGCUGCUAGCCUCAAAAAUUUGUUUCUGAAUAUAAAGUCUCACAUUAGAUGGGAAUGAAGGUAUGACUAAAAAUAUAAAAGCUCAUGGAUAAUAAUAAUAGUAACUGGGCUUACAUUUUGGACCGAUUGUUUGGAUCCAACGAAUUAUUAACGCUAACGAUCGGAUCUUACAAUAAUAUAAAAAUAAGAUCUAAAAGGAAAAAAAAAAAUCUUCUAAUAUACGUGGACUGCAGAGUUAGAGGUGACCGCAAAAGCAUCUCCUUUGACCAAAUUACUUGUUACGGGACAAAAUUAAUUAACUUCAUAUAUGUUGAAUUCCAAGCCAUGACAAUGAUCCAAAAACUAAUCUUUUACGCGUAUCGUGAAAUACCCGAAAUAUAAUUGAUGAGUCUUUUUUACAUAUAAAUAAUUGUUAGUUACUAGUUUGGCUCCGAAGCCUCCCCGCGUUUGGCGGGGCUUCGGUGGGACCCUUCACACCCCGCACCUCCCCCGCCCCCCACCCCCCCGGCUCUCUCCCUCUCUCCUCCCUUUCCCCCCACCCCCUCCCCUCCCCUCCCCUCCACUGCUCUCUCUCGUGCUCGGCGCGCGAGCGGGUAGGAGAGGGGCGCUCGCGGGAGCGAGGGCGUCCCUCCCCUCCCCCUCUUCUCCACUGCUCUCUCUCGUGCUCUGCGCGCGAGCGGNCCCCCUCCCCUCCCCUCCCCUCCACUGCUCUCUCUCGUGCUCGGCGCGCGAGCGGGUAGGAGAGGGGCGCUCGCGGGAGCGAGGGCGCCCCUCCCCUCCCCCUCUUCUCCACUGCUCUCUCUCGUGCUCUGCGCGCGAGCGGGUAGGAGCGGGGCGCGGGCGCGGGGCGCUCGCGGGAGCGAGGGCGGAGGCGCAGGCGCUGGUGCGUGGGCGCUGGCGCGGCGCGGGAUGCGGGCACAGCGCGGGGCAAGCAAUGGCGCGCGACGCGCGUGGGUCCGAGAGCAUAUUUGAAAAGACAAAUUAGUAAUUUCACAGAGAUAACGACUACUCUUAAUAAUUCAUUAAUAAAAUAGAAUUUAGUUCUAUGGAUAUAUUUAAGGCUUUUUUUGUAUUUAGCCCCCUUAAAAAAAAUUUUAUAAAUAGUCCCACAAAAUUUAUAUUUGUAAGAUUAGCCAUAUCCCCAUCACGUAAUCGCCAUGUAGGCAUGACGGUAAAUUAAGUUGAAUACGGUAAACCAUUCAUCGUGUUUAGAUGCGAUGAUCAUUACGUCCUUUCUAAAUCCUAAAUCUCAAAUAUUAUGUAAUAUCAUGGUGGAAAAAUAAUAGAAUACGGUGAAUCAUUCAUUGUAUCCGUAUUCAACUUAGGCUUUGUUUGGGAUUACGGGGAGAUUGCGUUACGUGGAAAAUACGUUGGAAAAAUACAAUAUUUGUUUCCGUAGGUAAUAUUGCGUUCCGCAUAUUGCGAUGAGCCGGUUACGAUAUAUUUUCUGCGGUCUCACUGGAGAACGCAGAAGCAUAUCUCUAUAUUCUUUUUCCUCAAUUCCAUUUUAUCUAAUAGAGUUAGAUAGACCUCGAUACCAAACUAAGUCUUAACCUAUGCCGUCAUCCACGUUGGCGUGGCGCUUACGUGGCGGGAAUAGGACUAAUCUUGUAAAUUUUAAAUUUUGUGAGAUUAUUUAUAGAAUUUUUUUUAAGGGAGCUAAGUGCGAAAAAAGCCUAUAUAUUUAAAAUAACCUGAAAUAUUAAAAAAAAUAUUUUUAAUAUUAAUCUUCUAAGAACGGUAAAUAAAAAAAAUUAAAAACUUUUCAUAGAUAUAUAAAUAAUUGUCCCUUUUUAAGAUGCACCCUUCAUGAUUGUUAAAUUUGCUAACAUUUCUUUAUACUAAUUGGGAACGACGCAUCUCAUAAAUAUUUUUUCAGGAUAUAGGAACCUACAUAUGGAUGGAAUUAAAGUUAGAUAAAACGAAAAAAAAAGGUUUUUUUUUUAAAAAAAGAAUUUCCAAUAUCUAUGGACCGUGAACUGGUUGCAGUGUCAUGCACGUUUCCUCUGAUCCUAAUUUUUCCAGGAGCAGGUGAUCUUGAAAGCGUCUACUUUGAUCAAAUUGCUUAUCAUGGAAUAAGUUAAUUAUGUGGAAUUCCAAUGCAUGACAAUGAUCCAAAAGAGUGUUGCUUUCGGCGCAUUAAAGAUUUAGUGCCGUGCCACCGGGUCGUGUCGAAAAUUUGCAGGCACGAUACGGCACUGGAUCGUGCCCCAAACUUGUCAGAUCGUGCUAAUGCAUGCUAAUAAAAAAAAUAUAUAUAUGCCGAUAUAUAAUGGCAUGAAUAUUUAUUUUUUUAGUAAUAAUAGGUUAUAAUUGCUUGUUUUGUAUUUUUUAUCAAAUAUUUUGAAGUUUGUUGAGAAAAGUACUUACUAAUUUUUUUAAAAAGGAGAGUUUUGAACUAUACUAUCGGCAUAAAGGCUGUAUCGACACGGUGGAUACCACUCUUACCGAUGGGCACUUAAAUCAUUGACGUGCAUCAUCGUAAAAUACCUAAAAUACAGUUGAUGAAUUUGAUUUACAUAAAAUAGUAGUCAGAUCACUGGUUAGGCUUUUUCGUGAAACUAUGGUUUUGCUUGCUUAGUUGUGAAGCAAUUUGCAGUUUCUUUUCUAUGUUGUUCUUUCUAAUCAUCUCUCUCUUUAUUUGAACAUCAAAAAUCGUCAUAUAUUCUUUUCUUUUUUUUCGAGAGAGAGAUAGGUAGUAUAUUACCCGCUUCGUUUAUUUUUUUAGAAAUAAACUUAGCUGGAAAUGUGAAUCAACUAGGAUUCGAUCUUGAGACCUUGGGUACCAACCACCAAGCCCUCUGUUACUUGCGCCAGGGACAGACAGCAAAUCGUCAUAUAUUCUAAAUUAAGGAAAAAAUGGUUUGGCAUUUUAAAGUUGAUUUCUGCAAAGACGUUGUAGGAGUCAUGUUUUAUUAGAUUGAUUUGAUAGAUAACAUGGUAUAAGCAAGAACUAGUCGUAGGCCCGCGUAGAAUCUCAAUCCAUAUCUGUGGGUAUCCGUAAAUUUGCAGGUGUGGAUACUAUUUUUUUCUAUCCAAAAAAUUAUGAAUAAAAUGAAUGGAAACCCAUUAACUUGUGAGCAUUUUGGGUAAAUCGCGGUUAUCCGCGGAUAUCCACGUAUAUAUAUAUAUAUAUAUAUAUAUAUUUUUUUUUUUAUAUAUAUAUAUAUAUAUAUAUAUAUAUANAAAUAGUUAGAAACAGUUUCUGUCAAAAAAAAAGGAAAAAGAAAAAAGAAAAAAAAGAGAGAGUUAGAAACAGUUAAGUGAUUGGUAUUUAUUUGUCUUUUACAUUAUAAAAUUUAUUCGCUUUAAAAACUUCUUUUUUUUUCUUGAGAGAUAGAUAGCACGCUACCCGUUUCGUUUAUUUCAUUUGGAAAUAAAAUUAGCUAGAAAUGUGAAUAAACUAGAAUUCGAACUUGAGACCUCGGAUACCAACCACCAAACCUUUUGCCACUUGACUUUAAAUAUUGUUUAAGACUUUAAAUAUUUUUAUUAUAUGUUGUGAUAUUUUAAAUAAUAAAUUAUUUUACGUUUUUAAAAAUUAUAUAUGUGUUUUGCAUUUAUAAGUAUAUGAGCAAAAAAAAAAAAAAAAAAAAAAUUUAUAGAUAACUCGCAUACCCGCCCGUCCACCGGCAGGUGGAUAUGGGUAAACAUAUAUAUUGGCCACCCCAAAAAUUGCAAGUAAAUCUUAUUCAUUCCCAAAUAAUCCGCGAGUCACCUAAUCCGCUUGUUCGUUACGUCUACGUAAUGUUGCGGAUUCAAUUCCUUUCAUCCAUUGUUUAAUAGUUUGAAUCUCCGUUCAGAAGAUAAUGGAUUAAAUUCUCUCGACAUAAAUGCAGUGGUGGAUCCAGCUCAACCCAAUUGACCCUACUCAAAUAGCCAAAAGCCAAGUUGACCCGACUUUGGGGUCAAGGUCGACCCCAAAGUGAGAUCGGCAAAUUCGUAAUUCUCGUGGGCCCUCGUGGUAGUGGGCCCAUGAGAAGGCAUGGGAGGAUAAUCUAUAAUCUAUAAUCUUCUAUAAACAUAUAUGAAUCCUUAAUAUAUUUGCCAUGUGGCAAUUGUUCCUUCACCCUCACUAGUCUUUCUUUUGAACCGUUCCUCUUCUUUCAUCCGAGCCAAAUUGUUCUCUGAACCGCUCUUUUCCUGUUCUCUAAUCCGAACCACGUCCUAACAUCUGAACCAAACUGCUUUUGAACCAACCAAUCGCUUUUGAGCCGAACCAUCUUUCUAAGCCGUCCUCCUAACAUCUGAACUGAACCGCUCCCUAUCUAUGAACCACCCUCUCUUUCUCUCUCCUUUUCAGUUAUUGCAUGACGGAGCGUUUCCACUCCCCUCUCCUCCGUGUUGUUCCUUCUUCCCCCUUCGCUGCAGCAUUUUCUCUUCCCUCUCUGUGGUAUCGCCGUUUCGAUUGAUGGGUCAUUUCCUUUCCCCUCUUCGCAUCUAAGGUUUUUCUUUGUAUCAAUCUCUUCAGAUUUGUGUGCGGAUGGAGGGGGUAAGAUUGGGAACCCUAACCCUAAUUUUUCUUUUAUUUUUUUAAUCCCGAAUUAUUGUUAUGUAUCCAUCUAGGAUUUGAUCUAUUUGCAUUAUUUGGAUUAAUUUUUAGGUUAAUUUGAUUUCAUGUGGUUGUUCUGGUCGUGGUUGUGGAGUUUUUAUUUCUUUUACUUUUCUUUUUCUUAUGUGUGGAUUUACUAAAUUUGAUUUUAGGGGGUUGUGGAGAUGUUUGAGAGAGGGUUGCAUAGACACAGAUUCGCCUUUGUAGAGGGCUCACCAUAGACGGAUGCUCCUGCGAUGUGAGCCCACAUCGGCGUCCUCCCUUGCCAGAGUCCUAAAUUUCCCUGUCGAGGCCUCUCCAAACGUAAAGGUUUGGAUUCCGAGGGUGUAAGAUUUGCAUCCUAUAAAAGUUGUGCAUAUAGCAUUUUCCUUAAAAUCAUAGGCCAUUUGAUUUUGUAUUGUUGGGUUAUACUGAAAGGCCAUGAAGUGUUUGGUAAUUUACUAUCAUAUGAUCUUAAGCUAAGCAUUUUUGUCACUAAUGAUUACACUAACAAUAUUUUAUAAAGAUUUAUUAUUAUAAUGUCUUUGAACUGUAGUUGAAUGUCCUAAUAAAAGUUUGUGAAUGUAGAGAAAUUUUGAGAAUGUCCUCUGUGUGAUUCUUUUUUCUCUUUUUUUGAGUCAUUUAUAUUUUACUACUCUUAGUAUGCAAGCAACAAGACCCAAUUAAUUGUGAGCACACAUUAUCUAUAGAAGUUUCCUUCAGAGGAGAAGAUUCCACUAUCUAUGUGAUCGUGGAUGUGUUUUACUGCUCAUCAUCGAAAGUGAAUCAAUAAUCUUAGAAUGUGUUAAAUUUUUUUGUUGUGCCCAGCUUUUGCAGCGCGCACAAAUCAACAAGUGGGAUGCAUCGCCAAGCCAAACAAAGCCUAAACCACACAUCAUAAUAUAUUUGUAUUCAGCCCUGCGAAAGUGUAUUUUCUUAUAUAUAGACAUUUUCUUAUCUUACGUUGGAAAAGUUUUGCACAUCAUACUUAGGUAUAGGUAGAUAAUUCUAUACGGUUAUAUAAUAAAAUCUCUUUAUAUAUAUAUUCUUCUGUUUCCAUCAGUUAAAAUUUGCUCUUCAAGUUAUUAUGAAUUUUUUUAUCUUUUUUUUGUCUUUAUUUGAAUACAAGGUCAAUUACUUAUGGCAGUCUCAAAAACAGUUGAAAAUAAGUUAAUUUUAUAUUUUAAGCUUAUUUUCUCUGCAUGUUGGAGAGUGCUAUACGAAUGCUUACAAUAAAAGUCAUCUUGAACUCAAAAAAGAGAGAGCGAAAAUAUAUAAGGUUUUAUUAACAAUACAAAUCAAUCUUUUCUGAGAGAAGUAAAUGAUCUAAAUUCUCUUCCGGCUAAUCUGGCAAAUACGAAAAGAAUAUUAAAUACUAUUCAAACAUUCAGAUCUACCACUAAAUAGUAAUAUUUUCUCUACAUCGUAUUGAUCUUACUAUGAAAAUUUCUAAAUUCACUACUAUAUAUAUAUAUAUAUAUAUAUAUAUAUAUAUANUUUUACGAUAAUAGGCCGAAUCAAAAGGAGAAUAAAAGAAUAUUUUAUCUAUAUUUUUUAAAAAAAGAACAAUAUCUAAUAUAUCUUUUAAAAUUUUAAAAGUAUCUUAUUUAUUUCAGUAGGACCAAAAUAGCUUGUUGAUUUUAAAAAACUUCAACUAAUGAGGUUGGGUUUUUGAAAGAUAAUUUGAUAAUCUCAGAAUAAGUUUAAAAAUUUGAAUAGUAGAUUGGAGUAAAUAAGAUACUUUUCCAACAAAAACACCAUUUAAUACAUAUCCCAUACGUAUUAAAAAAAAAAAAAAAAAAACCAUUUGAUACCUACCAUACGAUUUGAUAACAUAUAUACCAAUCUCUUUUAAGGGCUUCCAUGCACGAACCUUCCAUACCAUUCGAUACAUGUAUGGAUACAAUCCAACUGAAUGAACGUCAAUUUAAAUUCUUCCAGUCAUGGAAUAUUUAAAGUGCUUACAAUCCCACAACAUGUUCAUCUUGCAAAUAUAACAUGCAUUACACAUGUACUAGAACUAAUUCUAAUUAAAUUUAAAAAGAAUAAUAAGAGCAAUUUUAUUUUUGUUCUUUUUUAUAUAAGAACCAAUGGUACUACAAUUCCACAUGUAUAAGAGUUAAGGUAGUAUUAUGCAUGCAAAAUUAAAUUAAAAAAAAAGCAUAUCCUGCUAACAGUAAAUUUAUGAGAACAAAAGCUUCAAAAUCCAUUUCCACUAGCACGCAAUAGAAUACAUAUACUAGUGUUUAUUUAUACAAAAUUCUUCAACUUCUAUUAUAUAUAAUCUUAGCGCCUCUCAGUUGCCAGCAAAAAAUCUAUAAUACAUCUUAUCGAUCAUGUAGAAGUAAGUAUUUCUCCAGCUAGAUUUGAAGAGCAAGAUACCAUAAACAACCCAAAGCCCCACCAAAAAUCCCAAUCCCAUACCAAGAUAAAUUUCUAUAUUCUUCGAGCCACCACUGUGUUUCUUCUCAUCAGGAGUAUAUGUUGGUUCAUAUCCAGAGCAAUUCUUUGAAAUGGGGGGACCGCAAAGAAAGGGAUUGCCAGCAUAUAUAGUAGGAUCAACCAGUGUCUGCAUUUGAUCUCCAGAUGGAAUCCUUCCUGAGAGGUUAUUGUAUGAUAAAUUCAAGCUGCUCAAAAAUAGCAAGGCCGUUAUACUCUCGGGGAUGGUUCCAUUUAAUUCAUUCAUAGAAAGAUCGAGAGACUCCAAAUAAUGUAAGUUUCCUAUCUUAUUAGGAAUCCUUCCCGUUAAGUGAUUUCUUGAUAAGUUUAAAUUGUUCAGUGCUGACAGAUCGACUAGUUCCUCAGGGAUCGCACCAUGAAGGUUGUUACCUGAGAGGUCUAUGCUCUUCUCGAAGAACAGAUUCUUGGAAAAUUGAAGAUUUGACCCUUUUGUUGCAAUGUAUAAUCUUUGGUCAGUAUAGCUUUGAGACACAUCGGAUGUGAAUGAAGUUUCGAAGCUUGUUGGCCUUAUAAAGUCAACAUAGAGAGUAACAAGUGGUUCAUUUAUAUAUCCAGGCAACUUGGUUGAAGCCAUUGCAUGGAAAUUACCAAAAGAUUGAGGUAUGUUUCCUGCUAAAUUGUUCCAAGAAAGAUCCAAGAUUUGAAGAUUCUCAAGUUGUCCGAGCUCUGCAGGAAUGUUGCCGGCAAACAUAUUUGACAUCAGCCGAAGAAUUGUAAGAUUUGUUAACUUUCCUAGCCACACAGGAAUCUCACGCGAUAACUUGUUUUGCCCGAGAUCAAGUAAUAGUAAUGGACAAUUUUGUAAUGCCGAAGGAAGUUCUCCAUAUAAGCUGUUAUUGUUUAGGUGCAAGAACAAAAGAGAACUUAAUAAACCCAAUGAAUCGGGAAGAAGUCCAGACAGAUUGUUAUUGGAUAAGUUUAUAUCCAUCAGUUGUUUUGAUCCACUAUUCCAGCAAUUUGGUAGCUCACCAAAUAUUUUGUUGUUUGACAUGUCGAGUAUGUACAAAUUUUGCAAGUUGCAUAUAGAUGAUGGAAUGUUACCACUGAUGGAGUUGUUCGAGAGAUGAAUGGUGAGCAUAUUUGGCUUGAAGAAAGACUGUGGAAAUGAUCCAGAAAACAUAUUGCUCGAGAAAUCAAGCCAUUCCAAAGAAUGUGGCAGAAAUGGUAGGAAUCCUUCUAAAAAGUUAGAAGCAAAAUUUAACGCACGUAAAGAUGUCAUGUUUUCCAAAGAGGAUAGCAGCAUGCCACUAAUUUGGUUAUUAGAAAGGUCCAAGAAUACUAUGGGAGAAGUUAGGUCCCAAAACCAAUUAGGAAUAGCUCCUGUGAUAUCGUUGUUUGACAAAUCUAGGACGAAGAUUUCUGUCUGCAACCGUAGCCAUCUUGGAAAUCGUGGACCCAAUCGACAUGAGCUCAAAACUAAUUCGUUCGCUUGAAAAGGAGGAACCCAAUUAUCGUCCACCUUCAAAUCAAGAGAUGUUCCACUCAACCUCAGCACCUCCAAUUUCGUGAAGUUCAUAAGGUGCGUUUCAUGCACAACCCCCCGAAACAAAUUUUCGGAAAGGUCAAGAAAAUAAAGAUUGGACAAUUUUUGUAUCCCUUCAGGUAUCGAACCAUUAAAGAAGUUAUUGCUGACAUCUAGAUAUAUAAGACUCGUCAUUUGUUCGAGCCAGCCAGACAAAUUACCCCUGAUAUUUGUUUUCUUUAAAUCCAGCGCUCGCCAAUUGUUAAGUGGGACACACGAGAAUAUUGACAGGAAUUCGACUAUAUCUCUAUCAAUAUUAAUUCCAGACAAAUCUAAAGUGGCCAAUCUGCAAAGAUUAUUGAUUGAAUCGGCUACUUGACCGUCGAAGUUGUUGGAUCCUAGCAAGAGGGAAGUAAUCCGAGUAAAAUUGUUUAGCUCGACAGGAAUAGGGCCAAAGAGAUUGUUAUUUAAGAGAUUUAGAUCAGUCAAACUAGUGAAGUUCCGAAGCCAACCGGGCCAAGUGGAGUUGAACAAGUUGUCUUGGAGAUCAAGUAUGGUCAAACUUGUUAAGUUAAAAUUGGAAAUGGGGUCAGGAUUGCUUGGAAGAGAACACAACCCUAAGCGGAGCACUUGCAAUGAAGACAACAUGCUUACUCCUUGCAACCAAUCAUUCGCAUUUUGUAGCAACACAGAGGUCAAGUCAAGGUACCUUAAAGAAUGGAGACCUUUGAUCCACGAUAGUUUGCCAUGAGAGGUAGUACUAAGUUUAGCAUCAAUAUUACUAAGGUCAAGAUAACGAAGAGUUGACAAGUUUCCGAAUUCUGGAGGUAUCGCUCCAGUAAAACCCGCAUAAGAGAGGUCAAGAUAUCUCAACUUCUUAUACGAAGCUAUGAAAUUAGGGAAACCGGUACUAAAGUUAUUCAUGCUGAGAUCUAAGUGCUUCAAGUGGCUUAAAGAUAGCAAUGAUGGAUUGACCUCACCACCGAAACCUAUGUAGUUUGCGUCUAAGGAAGCUGGACAAGGGAAUCUGAGUUUGAGCUUCUCCACUCUGCGAGUCUCGUUGUUGCACCGAACUCCUUUCCAUCUGCAGCAGUCAGAGCCUUCCCAAGAAGACAAGCAGUUUCGUGGAUCGAUGACACCGGACUUGAAUGCGAGAAGCGCCUCACGCUCUACACCGAGGCAUCCAUAGGUCUCCAAGAUUUGGGCUUUUAUUAGCCAAACCACGAGUAAUAUUACAAAAAGUUGCAUGCUUGUAGCUUUAGCCCUCAUGCUUAAGGUACCAAAAGGCUUUUUGUGAGAAGGUAUGUAAAAUUGCAUGCUCAAGCUAUGUGUAUUUAUAUUAUUGGUAUAUCUAUAGAUUGGUCAAAUUUUAUUUUGAAUGGAACCUUGACCAAUUUGGUCUUAUUUGUAGGGCCUAGUUUUCUAGAUGAAUUAAGUAGUGUGUGGAUAGCCCUUUUAGAAGAAAUAUUAUAUUAAAAUUUUGCUCCUACUUUAAUUCUAUUUAGAGUAGAAUUAGAAAUAUCACAUUACAACUUACAGUGCUGGCCUCAAAAUUUUGUUCUGAUUUUCACUAGUGCAGAAGCACCAGGCUUUUUCCCUUAUGCCACAAAUUCAAUUUUUUGAAUAUAAAAUACAAAUUUAAAAUAAAACUUUCAAUUUCAAUUCAAAAUUUCAAUCUAAAUCAAAUAAUAAAACUUGCCUUUAAGAUUAGAAGUACAAUUUAGAUUUAGAAUUUCAAAUUGUGUUAGGUUAUAUGCCGACUAGGUAGUAUACAUAGGGGUUGUUAUCCUUGGUAUUGUUAAAUAAUACGAAACAAUAAUUACUCUAAAAUUUAAACUCAUAGAGAACGGUGUUUAAAUAUAUAUCUGAACUCUAAAAAUUUAAGCCGAUAGAAAACGAUGUUUUAAAAUUUUUCAUAUUUAACACUUUUCCUCACGUCCGGACUCGAGACUUUUCGCUAGACAUAUUCCAUGGAUUUGAAUUAUAUGGAAAGAAAUUAAUAAUUCGCUAGACCCAUAACGUGGACUUGAAUUAAGUGGGAAGAAAUUAAUAAUGGUAAGAGCUUGACAUAAUUCGAACUCAUGACCUCCUACUAUGAUACCGUGUUAAAGAAUAUAAAACAACCGUUAUUCUCAAAAGUUAAAUUUGUAGAGAACGGUAUUUAAAUAUUUUUUAUAUUUAAUUGGUAUGAGCACCAAGUCGAGUAUAAAACAAUGUUGGUGAUAUCCAACAGUAAAAAAAGAUGCAUCUUAAUGAGACGAGUUUGUUUUUACGAUAUAGGAGUCACGAUAUGAUCCGCUAAUAAUAAUAACUCGCUAGGUCCAAACUAUUGGUCCAAAAUACUUAAUCCCAAUUAUUAUUAUUAGAGUGCGGCUCAACCACCAGUCCAAACUCGAUCACAGAUAUAUAGACUAAAAUUAUGUGGUGUAGUAUUUUGCCUCACAUAACACUUGGCUUUCACACUUUCGGUUGAUAUUCGACACUAAUACUAACUAUAAUGAUCCGACUCCCUAACAAUAAUAACCCGGCCCAAGCUGUUGGCCUAAAAUGGAACCCCUUGAGGUGUUACCGAUGUCUCAAUUGGAGUGUAACAAGAUAGAGCAAUUAUUAUUAGGGUGUGUGACCUUUUAUAUUCUUAAUCAGCUAUAACGAUCCAAUCUGCUAGUAAUAAUAACUCGUUGCAGCUAAAUUACUGGCCCAAAAUAUUUAAUCCAAGUUAUUAUUACUAAAAUUUGUGGCCUCCUAUAUUUUCGAUCAAACCCUUUUUUGAUCUAAUGUGGGACUAUGGGGACACUACAAUAGGUACCUUUGGAUAGAAUAAAAAUAAAAGAAGAUAAUAUGAAAAUAAGAUUUAAAACGGAAAAAAAAAAAGGUCUUCUAAAGCAAGGUGACCAUGAAAGCAUCUCCUUUGACCAAAUUACUUGUUACGGGACAAAAUUAAUUAAUUUCAUAUGUGUGGAAUUCCAAGCCAUGACAAUGAUCCAAAGACUAAUGCUUAAUUUAUGCGCGCAUCAGAAAACACUCAAAAUAUAAUUGAUGAGUCUGAUUUACAUAUAAAUAAUAUGUAAAUUAGAUCCAUUUUAAAAUCAAAUCCAAAUAGCAUUCAAGUGAUCAAAUUUAGAGAAAUUGAAUUCAGUGCAAUUAAUUAAGGGUGAUUAUUUUAAUUUGCUUGGACUAAAUAAAUUGGAAUUUAAUAGAGUUCAACUCCAAAUUAUUGUUUGCAAUGGAAUAAAAAGUCAUAUUAAUAUGCCGAUGUUUCUUAAUAUUUUCCUUUAGUUAAAUUGUAAGAAAAUUAAUAUCCAUUAAUUUUGGGAAGGAAUUAUUGGGACAACGAAUACAUAAUAACUCUCAGUGAUUUAAUUCUUACCGAACCAAAAUCAAUUGAAGGAAUUUGAUCCUAAUUAAUUAGCAUCGUUGGUUUAUGCUAACAACCACUGUUUAAAACACUUGGUUUUUUUUUUCUUACUGAAAAAGGCUAUUUAUGAGAUCGAAAGUUCGGCACAGCAUUGAUGCUUCAAAAAAUUAGGGACUCGAUCACCCCUAACUUUUCACAUAGUACCUUAGCAUUUAAUCAAAAGCAAUAUGAUAAAUAUAAUAAUUUUAUACUGAAACAAUGUUUAAAGAUAAAUUAUCUUUGUACUUGAAAAUUAUCUUUGUACUUGACUAUCUUUACUUGACUAUCUUUUGAAUGGAUGCCAUUAUUACUACAUGACAUAGUCUUUUUUUAUUUAUAUAUAUUUUUUUGAGGUGUGAAACCGAGAAAAUGUGGUAAAAAAGUUGCUGGACUUGGAGUCGUCCAACAAUAAGCAGGCCACUUUUUUAGUGCUUGAUCUUGACUCUUAAGUCAUGAAAUAAUUCAAUUGUGGUUCGACUUGGUCUCUGUAAUAAAUCAGUUUGGUUCAGUUCUAUAUAAAACCGAGAAUUUUGAUUAGGUUUAAAUAUUUUGCAAAUUGAACUAAAUUUUUUUUGCAAAUUGAANUUUUUUUUUUUUUUUUUUUUUUUUUUUUUUUUUUUUUUGUGAGGUGUGAAACAGAGAAAAUAUGUUAAAAAAGGUGUUGGACUUGGAGUCAUCUAACAAUAAGCAGGCCACGUUUUUAGUGUUUGAUAUUGGAUUUUAUUUUAAAACGUAAACAUCAAAUAUAAAAUUAAGUGCACAAUUUGGAAUCUUUGUGAACUGCUUAUGCAAUUCCAAGUCAUGAUAAUUGCAUCACCGGAUAAAAACUUUAAUGGGAAGCAAAUUAUUAUAUGUACUCGGUGUAUCCGUGUUAAAUAUAAAAAUGUUUAAACACCGUUCUCUAACAGCUUAAGCUUUUAGAGUACAACGGUUGUUUCACAUGGUAUCAGAGCAGGAGGUCCUGAGUUCGAGCCACGUCAGGCUCUUAGCAUAUUAAUUUCCUCCCAUUUAAUUCAAGCCCACGUCAUGGGCCGAUUAAAAAGUCUCGAGCCCAGACGUGAGGGGGAGUGUUAAAUAUAAAAAUGUUUAAACACAUUUCUCUAACAGCUUAAGCUUUUAGAGUACAACGGUUGUUUCACAAUCCGUACAUCCCAUGCACUGCACCGGCACUUCAUAUUUGCUGAUUAAUAUUCUAAAAUCAAAAUCUAAUACAACUUAUCAAAACACAUAUACAUCGAGUAUGAAAUAUAGACAUUUCUCAAUUGUAAGAGAAUGAUGUCCAAAUUUUUAUGAAUUUUUUUAUUUGUAGGUCUUUUGAAAUUUUAUAGAGUAUAUCUAGUUAACUAGAUUUUAACUUUGAGGCUCUCGUCUGUGAUUCGAGGAUUCGAGAAGUGAACGGAAUGGAUACACGGUUGGGAGAGUUUCCCACCUCAUGCUCCAUUUUUUUGGUGGAUCGGAACGAAUUCAGAGCGGAUUAAUUUUUCACUUGUCGCUUCAUUCGGAACUGGUUAGGAUGGAAGCAAAUUUUUAGCAGAUCUUUAACAAAUCAGUACAGAUUACGCAAGGAAGAGAUCUCCCACCUUUCGCUCUAUUUCUUUAAUAGAUCGGAGCAGAUUCAGGUUGGAUUACUUUUUUCUUAUUUUUGACCCCAUUUACUAUCUUAUUUGGGGUGGACGGAGACAGGAACUCCAUAAACCAUGAUUUAUUUGCAUCCCUUGGGAGAAUAUUCUCCACAUCUAUAUCUAUAUCUACCAGGACUUGUGGAGAAAUUAGAGUCUUCACCUAACUAGCGUAGGCUCUCUUUGGGAUUGCGAAAAAUAAUAUUACAUGUAGUGAAAAAGUACAGUGACAAAUAUUAUAUUUGUUUUAAUACGUAAUAUUGUGUUCUCCAUAUCAUAAUGAGUCGGUAACGAUACAUUUUUUUAAUACGUAAUAUUGUAUUCUGCAUAUUACAAUGAGUCGAUAACGAUAUAUUUUUUUAAUAAUUUUACUGAAAGUACAUAACUAUAUCUCUAUAUGCUUUUACUCAAACUUUAUUUUACCGGUUAGCAUCAGUUGGGUCUUAAUACUAGGGAUGUCAACGGGUCGGAUUUGGGGCGGGUUUUUAAAAAUCUGAACUCGGACCCGAUUACCAAAUCCGAAAUCUGAACCCGAAUCCGAACCCAACGGAUUUUAAAAAUUCAUAUCCAAACCCGAACCCGACCAAAAAUCUGGAACUCGAACCCGACCAAAAAUCCGAAAUCCGAACCCGAAUCCGGAAAAAAUCCGAUUCCGACCAAAAACCCGAAAUCCAAUUCUAAACCUGAAAACCCGAACUCAAAAAUAAUAUUUACCAAAUUUUGAAACAUAUUAUACAAAAAACUAAAAUCUCAAAAUAUAUAUUCAAAUACAAUAUUAAACAUUCAUGCCAUUCAAAAGUUAAAAAUACUAAUUAUGAGAAAAAUAAAACAAAAGAUUUCUUAAAAAAUUAAAGAUAGUUCUAUUGCUCAAAAAUCUAUAAGGUUUAAAGACUAAAGUUAAAAAUACUAAUUAAGAGAAAAUUAAAAUAAAAGAUUUUUAAAAAAUUUUUAAAAAAGUAGCUCCAUUGCCCAACAACCCACAAGAUCUAAGAGAGUAACGGUUAAAAAUACUAAUUAAGAGAAAAAUAAAACGAAAAUUUCUUAAUUUUUUUUAAAAAAAAGAUAGUUUCAUUGCCCAACAACCCAUAAGAACUAAAGUACUAAACUUAAAAAAUAAGAAAAAAAAAGACAUAUAUGAAGAAUCAAAAAAACCCACAUCAAUGAAGCAACUUUAAUUCUCAAUUUUUUUCAAAAAAAUCCUCAUCUUUUUUCCUCUUAGGUUUGAGGUUAUGGUUUUUGGAGAGAAAGCAAAAAGUCAAAAUAACCUCUUGGAGAAGAAUUAAAAAAAAAUUACACAAGUCUACAACCACUUCACUAGUUCUAACCUAUGUUAGUUAAUUCGCGAAUUAUUUGCGAAUUAUUAAAAAUCCGAAUUAAACGGUCCGUUUACGAAUUUUUUUCAAAGAUAAAAUAUUAUUCGCGAAUUUUUGGGCCAGCCGAAUUAUUCUCGAAUUAUUAAAAAUAUGAAUAAAAAAUAUAUAAUUUUAUAUUUAAAUAUAGAUUAUCUUAUAUUGCAUAUCUUAUAUUUUAUAUUUUAUACCGAAUCUAUUUUUUAAGCCGAAUUUUUCAACGAAUUUAAAAAUUAGAAAACGAAUUUUAUGCGUAUUAUACCCGUACCGAAUUUUUGCCGAAUCCGAAUUAACUAACUAUGGUUCUAACUAUUAGGAUUCGGAGAUGGAGAGGGUUUGGGAAAUGGGAAGAUUUUGAAAUAGUUCUCUUUUCAUGUUUUAACUAUUAGGGUUUGGAGAGGACUUGAAAAAUAGGAUGGUUUUAAUUUUUGAAUAUUAGGGUUUAGGUGAUAAAAAUAUAUGUAUUUUAGUUUAGUUUAUAAAAGUGUAAGUAUUUUUUUGGCCUUUAGAUUCAUAUCUAAUGGUUUGAAUUUUUUUAUAUAUCAUAUUAAAUUUAUUCGAAUUCGGGUUCAGGUUCGGAUUCGGGUUCGAGUUCGGGUUCGGAUUCAAAUUCGGAUUCGGAUCUUUUUAAAAUAUCCAUACCACAAACCGAAUUUGUCGAUUUUUUUUUUUUUUUUUAUUCUAUGAAAGAUAAUGUAUAGAUAUAAAUAGGUAGAUAGAUAGAUAGAUAGAUAGAUUUGUCGAUAUAUAUAUAUAUAUAUAGAAUUAGGCUAGAAUACUAUUAAUAGUAAAACGCUCUUUUUGCUAUCAAGUUUUUAACCCUUGGAUGAAAAAUUGUAGGGUCAUGAUGAUAUUAGUCGAUUAGAGUUGAGUGGCUAUAUAUAUAUAGAAUUAGGUUGGAAUACUAUUAAUAGUAAAACACUCUUUUUGCUAUCAAGUUUUUAACCCUUGGAUGAAAAAUUGUAGGAUCAGGAUGAUAUUAGUCGAUUAGAGUUGAGUGGCCUCUCUAGGGUUGAGUGGUCCCCACUGGGUUAUAGUAUUUAAUCCAAUAGUUAGAAAUAAUGAAAUGAGUUGAUCUAAAGACUAAAAAAAUUAGUAGCAACAACGAGAUUUUGCUACUAAUAAUAGCCCAGUCCAACUAUAUAUAUGCUACUAAUAAUAGCCCAGUCCAACUAUAUAUAUAUAUAUAUAUAUAUAGAUUAUUUAUAUAUAUAUAUUAUAUAUAUAUAUAUAUUAUAUAUAUCGUUGGCAUGUAUUGAUACGGCGUGACGCGCCGUCGUGCUGAUAAAUUUUCAACGGGACUCCGGGACAAGAUUCUUAAAUCUUGACCGUAACCUUAAAAUUCCUGACCGUAUUCUUUAAAAAUAAGUAGGCAACUUCUGUUGUUGACGUGUGCAGUCUUUCCAUACCGCGUGUAAUAAUGAACCGAGUGGGACGUUGAUCAAAAGAAACAUAAGCCAAAACAGGUGACCCAUUCUUUCCACACAAGGACAUGGACUUUAAUUUUGGGGAUUAAUUGCAUACAGUUCUUUAUAAAUAUAUCGAAUAGCAAAUAUAUUUUUAUAAAAUUUAAUUUUUAUUUUUUAUUUUUUAUAAAAAUUUAAUAAUAUUUAUAUUUGCUUUAUUAGUUUGUUACCGUUAGACUACUGUUUAUUUUUUAAUAGCAAUUAAGUAAAAUGAUAUCUUUGCCCUUAUAAAUAUAUUAUCCCUUCAAAAGUCUAAAUUAUUAGAAGUAUGCAGAAAUGUCCUCCCAAAAUAUAUUUUAUUCAAUAAUAUAAAAAAAAAUAAUAAAAAGGUCAAUUUAACUCAUUCACUAAUCAGGGUUAAAUAUAUUUUAUCCAUGAUUAACUAUAUUUUUCUAACGGAUUCCGGCAGUAGAGAUAAAUUCGAAAAUGAUAGGACUUUUAUAGGGAAAAAAAUAAAAGGUUGAACUUUGUAGGAAUAUAUCCUCUAUUCGAUAUAUUUACGGAGAGCUGUAUGCAAUUAAUCCUAUUUUUGGGCAGCUAUUUGAGUUUUCAAAUUUAAUUCUCUAGAAAUUCCUAAUUCAUUUUACAAUCCAUUUGGAGUGACACCCAAAUAGAAUUCAAUUGGUUAAAACUGUUAGAAAAUUCAAUUCAAUUUAAUUAAGGGUGACUGGUUAUAUUUUGUUUGGAAUAAAUUGGAAUUGAGCUAAGGGCAUGCUUGGUUCGCCCUUUUUUCACGCAAGAAUCAGAAUCGGAAUAGACGAAUCCGUUUGUGGGUACUUGAUAUGCAGGAGGUUCAUUCCGAUUCGGAUUUUAGGGUGAAUAGGAAUCCUCCAAUCACCUCUUUUUCCAAUCCGGUUGAAUCCAGGCGGAAAGAGUGCACUUUACAAAAAUAUCUCAAUUAUAUUUUAUAUUUUUAUUUAAAAUAAAAUUUAAUUUUUAACCUUAAUUUUUAACUAAAAUAUAAAUUAAAAUUAAAGAAUAAUUUUUUUAUUCUAGAUUUUCAUUUAGAAAUUAAUUUAAAUUUAAGCUCAAUCAAGCAUUUUGAAUUUGAUUAUAUUUAAUUGUAACUUUGAAUCUGAAUCAAAUCAAAAAUUAGUUUUAUAUUUUGAAUUGUCCACUCAAUUUUAAUUUUUUUUUUUUAAGUUACAUUUAAAAUUUUGACUUAUCAUUUCAACAUUUUGAUGUAAUUUUUUAAUAUUUAAUUUUUAGUUUGAAUUUAAAUUAUAAAUUUAAUUUUAUGUUUUGAGGUGGAAAACUCAAUUUUAAAUAAUUUUUAUACUUUAUAUUUAAAUUUUAAUUUUAUUUUAAUUAUUUUUUUAUAAUCAAGUUUUUAAAAUAUGACAGUAGGAAUCAAUCAUACCAAUUCCGAUUGUUAUUCUGAGCCAAACAUAUUGAGAGAUUUGGCAUUUGAAAGUUGAUUUGGGCAAGCACUGUAUAGGAGUCAUGUUUUAUUAGAUUGAUUUGACAGAUAACACAGUAUAAAAAAGAACUAGUAAUAGACCCGCGUAGACCUCGCAAUCUCAAUUCGUAUCCAUGGGUAUCCACAGGUUACCCGCAAAUUUGCAGGUAUAGAUAUUAUUUUUUCUAUCCAAAAAAUUAUAGAUAAAAUGGAUGGGAACCCAUUAAUUUGUAGACAUUUUGAGUAACCCGCGGAUACCUGCGGAUACCCAUAUAUAUAGUAUUAUAUAUAUAUAGAGUGGAGGAGAGGAGUGAGAGGACGAGAUGAGAAGAAGGAGAGUAGAGAGAUGAGAUGAGAGAGAGAGAGAGAGAGUAGAGCUACUGUGCUAUUAGGAGCACAGCAGUCCUUGUGCUCCUAACUUUCUAAUCACCUAUCAAGUUUGAUGAGUGGUUAGAAUGAGAGAGAAAAGAUAUAUUGGGGAGAAAUUUAGUGUCCUAUCGAUAGUAUAGUAGCCGGACUAUAUAUAUAUAUAUAUAUAUAUAUAUAUAGAGUUCGGCUACUAUACUAUUGAUAGUAUCAAGUUCUUGAUACUAUUGAGUUUUCUACCAUUAGAUCUACCUUUUGAUUAUUUUCACCCGUUCGAUUAUACUAUUAAACCAACCACCCACUCAACCCUAGGGGACCACUAUCAUCCUAACCGUACAUCCUUUCAUCCAACGGCCGAAAACUCAAUAGUACCAGGGGCUUGGUACUAUUGAUAGUAUAGUAGCAUAAUUAUAUAUGAGUAAAGCUACUGUCCUUUUAAGAGUAUAACAGCCUUGGUCCUCCCAAUUUUAUAGCCAUUGAUCUUGCUUUGAGAUCCGGUCCCGCUGGCAUGGGUUUGUGCGGAGUUAACGGAGCACGUCCGUUAACGGAGAGGGGUAAAUAGCGAAGCUAAGCCAAAAAAAAAAAUAUCCAUCGCCCAUCUAUACUCACAGCAAAAAGUAGGGUUUCUAAAGCCUAUCCUCCAUUCUUUGCUCAUUUCCCUCUUCUUCCUCUCCAAAAAAAAAAAAUCCAUCGCCCAUCUAUGCUCACAGCAAAAAGUAGGGUUUCUAAAGCCUAUCCUCCAUUUUUUGCUCAUUUCCCUCUUCUUCCUCUCCCGGUUUUCCUCUUCCGUCGCGACCAACUUCGCUACUCGGAUUCGGUGCUCAGACGUGCUCUGAAGCCUCUUUCUCCUACGCCUUCGCUCGGAUCAAACAUUCAAAUUGGUGAGCUUUCUUUGUUUUUCGAUUUCUAUGGAACUUCUUUCAUGGUAGAUCUACUUAGCUUGAUUUCAAUCAAGAAGCAUUCUUCCCUCUCCUUUUGCUGAGAAAAUCAAGAUAUUAUUUGUCAAGAGGAAAAUCAAGUUUAUUAAUUUGUAUUUGUUUCUUAUGAAUUCUUUGAUAAUCAUUUCAUUUUGUGAAUAUCAAAAUUUGUUUUCCUGUUUUCUUCCCUUCGUGCUUUCACUAAUUCUUUACACCCAAAACUGAGCAAAAAUUUCUGUUACCAUUUCAUAGCAAAGAUGUUGUAGUAUAACUCUUUGCAUAUUUCUUUUUAUAGGUNNNNNNNNNNNNNNNNNNNNNNNNNNNNNNNNNNNNNNNNNNNNNNNNNNNNNNNNNNNNNNNNNNNNNNNNNNNNNNNNNNNNNNNNNNNNNNNNNNNNUCAAAUUUAGAUUUACAAAAAAUAUCUUGAAAUACCUAUUAGUAUUUCUACUAUUAAUAAGAAAUAAAGGGUAAAAAUGGUAUUUUGAAAAUUUAACUCCUUUUCAGAUGGGAUUUAACGGAUUUUAACUAAUGAGGGGUAUUUAUGAUAAUUUUAAACAUAUUGGAGGGUAUUUGUGAUAUUAUUAAUUUUAGAAGGGUAUUGGUGAAAUUAAUAGUUUCUAGAAGGGCAUCUAUGAAAUUAUUCCUAUUUUUUACUACUACUUACCACUCCAUUCGAAAAUCAAAGGAAGGGUUUUUCAUCUCUUCCUCCAUCUCUCACUCAAUAUUCUUAGCGGAUCGGGACGGAUUGAGAGCAAAUUAUUAUUUUUCUUUAAUUUUAGCCCUCACCGUCGGAAGCUCCACCGAUCUGGAUCCAAUCUCAUCCUACUCAUAUGAACCUCCAUACGUACUCUUUUACCCUAAAAGUAGUGUGCUAAAUACUGCAUCAAGAUUAGCAUAUAUGGAGGGAAAAGAGAGGAAAAAAAGAAAGAAAGAAAAAGUCACACAAAUUGAAUUCCAGCCACACGUGUUAAGAAAGAUAAUGCGGAAUCAAAAUAAAUUUUAUUUCUCAAAAACUUUUUAUGCAGAAGGCCUUAUCUUAUUUAUAUAAAAUAAGUCUUAAUUUCACUCCUUAAAUCCCUCGAUUUUAAGAAUUUUUCUAAUGCAAGCACCAAAAAUUAAAACAAAAUAGAAAAAAAUUCGAAUACUUCAUGGAAACAAGUUAGUAUCAAUUCCCUCUUCGGUAUUACCAUGCACUUUGAUAAGAUAAGGCUACAAAUAUUUACAGACUCCAUAUUGGAGCCAGAGUCAAAGAGUUGGAGUACCAUAAUUUCUUUUAUUCAUUUGACAUGCAAAAAUAAAAAAAAAAGGAAAAAAAAAAAUCUAAUUCCAACCUCAGGACGAAAAGAAAUCUAGUGGGAAGAAAUAAGAAUAAAUAUAAAUGUUUGGAGAUGAUAAAUUUGAUGACGAGAAGAAUUAGAUAGGCUAAACUGCACUAUUAGUUCUCAAACUAUCAACUGUGUGACAUUUUGGUGCUCGAACUUUAAAUUGUAGAAAUUUUUUUGUUCAAACAUCCUAGAAUGUCGCAACCAAAUACUUCAAUACAAUUUAAUUUACUAAAUAAUAAUGUCUCGUUGAUGUGACGGUGAUACAGUAUUAUUAUAGUUGAUGAAAUAUAUGAAUAAUUAAGAUGUAUCAUGUAACAUUAUCAUCACGCUAGCGACACAUUAUUAUUCGACCAACAGAAGUACAGUCACUAUAGCACUCGAUUGCAGCUAAAUAGAAAUUAGGUACCAAAAAUUAUAACAAAUUCAAAUUUGAGGACCAAAAUGUCACAGGUUGCAUAGUUUGAGGACCGAAAGUGCAAUGUAGCCAAUGAGAUAAUAUUUGGAUUAAUUAGAGUAUUAGUAGUGCGUGGAUGCAACAAGAAUAAAAACAAUAUCAAAAUAAAGAUAUUGACAAAUAUUCUGGAAAUUCAAUGUGUACAGUACACACAUAAAAAUUGAAUCCAAAAGUUUUGUUUUUCGACAUCCAAUGCAUAUACUACAUAUUUUUGACAUAACAAAUAUCGCAAAUCGCAAAUUGAAAUCCUUCCAUGUAAUGGUUGAAUAAUAAUAAUGAGAAAAUAAUAUGCAAAACUUACCUGAACUAAGGACUAUUUUGAGUCGGCUAUCCAACCUUUCUAAAAUUUUAAUUUUAUUAUCCAAUCUUUCAAUUUGUAUGAUUUGAAUCAGUCAAAAACAUUUUGAGCUCAAAGUUUAAGCCGAUUACUUACUUUAAUUAAUUUAUAGUUGCGAGAAUUGCAUUAACUAUACUAACUAAAACUGUAAAGAUAAACGUUAUAUUCAAAUUUUGAAAUCAAAGUGUCGUUGACUGAUUCAAAUCAAACAAAUUGAAAGGAUGGACAGCCAAUUCAAACCGUCCAUACUUCAGUUAAAGUUCUAUACAAUGCGCUUCGCCAAUAGACAUUGGGGAUAUGCUGAACCUUGCUCCGGUCACUUGUUUCGAGCCUCCUAAUGAACUCCUGUGGCAUAUCGAUGAGAUACAUUGCCUGCAGCGACUGCAGGUACACGACACCCGCCGGUGUAGCUGUCAAGCUUGACAGGCCGAUAAGCUGCAGCUGGUACAAGCUUUUCAUGGCUCCGUCUUCGAUAUCAAUAACACUCACUUGCGCCAUGUCAGCUAAAAACAGGUUUUUCAGCCUAGGAAACCAGCCGGCGCGAAAGCUCAACCGCUGCCCCUCGUAGACCCGGUAGAGAUGGAGGUCUACGAGGCUCGACAUGUGCGAGAAGGAAUGCAAUGGAUCUGUCUGCAGCCCUGACCAGGCUAGUCGCAGGUCUCGGAGCCUUCCGAAGUUGGCGAACACGGUCGGAGCCUCGUCCUCGUCCAGCCUACCUUUCAAGUAGAGCUUCUGCAGGCUCGGCAGCGGGUGCACGCCGUCCAGACAAAGCAAUUCAUCUUUGUCACUUGCGACGACGCCCAACGCGACGAGCCCGGGCAUCAUUUUCAGGGAGGCCCACAACUCCGUGCAGUAGGCGCCUCGCACUUUCAUGACAAAAAGAUUACGUAGUGACGUUAAGCUUCCGAUAUUCUGCAUCAAGAACUUGUCGGCUUCGAUGUUGAGCAGCGUCUGCAGGCCUUCCAGGCGGCAGAUGUCGUGCGGGACCGACACCGCACUGAAGGAGUCGAAAGUUCUGCAAUUGUAGUCGUAGAAGCAGACCACGAACAGGUGCCGCAGCUUCGUCAGCGUCACGACUUCACGCGGCAGUUUCUCCACGCGGGUCAUGCUCAGGUCGAGUGUCUGCAGGUUCUGGAGCUUCCCCAGCGACUUCGGGAUGCUCUUCACCUUCGUGCAUCGUAAGUCCAGAUAAUGCAGGUUGAACAAAUUGAACACCGCGUCUGGGAUCUGCUCCAUCUUGGCGUGUCGCAAGCAGAGCACCCUCAGUAACUUGAAACUAGAUGAAGCGUUUUCGAUACUAGACGACGGCAGUUCUUCAUCGAACAAAAUAAACGAGCGAAGCUGUCGUAGAUUUGCAUUUGGUUGUGAGGUCAAUCCGCCUUUAUGAACGGACACGCGACGAGCCUGUUCCCUCAACAUCGUUGGCCCUGGACCGUUGCACACGAUUCCGAAUUUUUCCUCUCUCGACCUGGUCAGAGUUAUUUCCCUCACGAGAUCGUGGAUUUGAAGCAUUUUUGCUCUUCCAAAGUCGUUCCGUUCCACAACCUGUAGCAUCGAUCGAUGAACGAGUUCCUUCACGUAGCCGUCGGCCACUUCCUCCAUUGUCGUCUCCGGCCCCCUUUCUUCGAUGAAUCCUUCGGCCGUCCACAGCCUGAUCAACCAUUUCCGCCUUAUCAGAUAAUCCUCCGGGAAUAGGCUGCAGUACAGAAAACAGUUCUUCAGAUAGCCCGGCAGGUCGUUGAAGCUGAGAUUUAGAAUGCUCGCCACCCAAUUCAGCUCCGGAUUGUUCGUCAGCUGCCAGCUAAGCUGAUCGUAGAACGACUUCCACUCCUGCUCCUGCUGCUCUCUGUAGGAUAACAGACUGCCGAUCGCCACGACAGCGAGCGGCAACCCUCGGCACUUGUCCACAAUCUUUUCAGCCCAGUCCUUAAGAUGCUGCGGGCAGCGUUUCUCCGCGAGCCUCGAGAACGCUUUCUUGCAGAACAGAUCCCACGCUUCCUCCUUCGGCAAAGUGCUAAGCCGUAAGCGGCGAUUCUCGUCUGCCAACAAAGCCACAUCUUCCGUCCGCGUCGUGAUGAUCACUCUGCUCCCGAAAUUGUUUCUCACGAACGCGCAAUCCAACAAAGACCAGGCGGCUCUGCUCCAAACAUCAUCUAAGACGAUCAAGUACCUUUUUUCCCGCAGAUAGAUUUGAACCUUCUCCGCUAGUUCAAUCCGGUCCAUAGUGUCGAUGCCAUUUAGAAUCUCCUCGUUUUUGCCCGUGUUGUGUGUUAAGAUCCUUCGCAGUAGAUCUUCGACUCGAUAGCUUUGCGAGACGGAGAUCCAUACGCUCCAGUUGAAGUGGCGUUUAACUGUUGGAUUCUUGAAAAUGUUGUUCGCCAGCGUUGUUUUACCCAACCCUCCCAUGCCCGAAAUGGAAAUGACGGCGCGAGCUUCCUUCCCGUCGGUCAGCCAUUCAAUCAAUUUUUUGGUUUCUUCAUCAUUCCCCACGAUCUCGUCUUCGUGGCUCAAGUACGGAAUAUCGAAGGCUCGACGCUGCCUAAGAGCAGCGAAAUCCGACGCGGUUUCUCUCACCGAAAUGCCGUACCGGUCUCUCAUGGUUGUGAGCUUCACUAGACGAGUCUCCACCUGUUUGAGCUGAUCGGCGAUACCGUGCCAUGCAGCGAUGUUUUUCAAAUGACGACACUUUUUCUUCAGGGAAUUCCUGAAGCCGCUGACGUUUUCUUCCCCGACGAGAUAAGUGUACUCGUCGAUGAUAUCCUCGACUUCGAAUGCAACGUUCUUGACUUGCUCCAGCCACGCCACCAAGGGUUUGUUAGGAGAAUCGUGUGCGUUGACUUGACUUAUAUAGGCUUGCAUCACCGCAAACUCGCUCUCGAUUUGUUUCAUGCUGUUCUUGAUUGCUAGCAAGGCCGACACUUCUUUGACUAAUUCACUGCUUAUUGUAUCCAGUGCCUUCCCUGCCAACGAAGCUGCAAUCUUGUUGAGUACAUGAAACACCGCAGCUCCGGCCAUGCUGCCUCGCUCUUCUGUUGCGAUGUUAUAUUGUUAUAGUCGCAAUCCAAUCCUGAAGUUAUUUAACCAGUAAUAGUAGUUAGGAUAAAGGAGCAGGAUGAGAAAUAUGUAGCUGAUAUCAAAAUAUCUGUCGAAUAUAAUUGUUAAGAACCUCGUUCUCUAGCUAGCAUAUCUGUCGAAUAUAAUUGUUAAGAACCUUGUUCUCUAGCUAGCAGUUUAAACUUUUAGAGAAUAAAGACUGUUCUGUUAUAUUUAACAUGGUAUCAGAAUAGGAGAUCUUGAGUUUAAAUCAUACCAGCUUUCUAGCAUUAUUAAUUAAUUCCCUCGUUAAGAACAUAAGCCAAUUACCAAUCUGAAGUGUGAGAUGAGUUUCGACUGAGCACUGACAGAGAUGAGUCUCGACUGAGUCAGAAUCUAAAUGUCAGGGUGGGUGCUCGAGCCUCACGGAAAUGUUAGAGCAUAAGGGGGGAGGAAUGUGACAAGGGUGCUCGAGCCUAACGGAUAUGUCAGGGCGGGUGCUUGAGCCUGACGAGAAUGUCGGGAUUUAAAAGAGAGAAGAAUGUGACACCACCGGGAUUUAGAAUAGUCCUAUAUAUAAGAUAAAAUAGGGCUAAAUCUAUCAACAUAACUAUAGCAUUUUGGGCGGCAGAAGUUUUGAGUUCGAGUCCCGUCAGCCUCUCAACAUUAUUAAUUUUUUUCUUAAGAACAUCGUAUUAUUGCAGCUUAAACUUUUAGAGAAUAAUGGUUGUUCGUAUAUCUAACAACAUCAAACAUUGUAAUUCACAAAAAAGAGAAAGAAAAAAUAUAUACUUUCACAUGAGGUUAGGCUUGAUUGCUUCUUUCCACAAGUGACAGAUUGUUUGCGACAAGGAACAAAAAGAAAGCACUAAUUUCUUCUUGCUUCUAUGUCCUUUUUUUUUUUGUCUAAACAAUAAUUAGACGACGCUAUUUGGCAUCUGAUCAGAGCAUUGCACGCUAACCAACAAUAACAAAGAAUACAAAAACCAGCUGCAGGCACAUUUGGUCACAUAGAAGCCAAGUUUAAAAACAAAGAAAGAAAAUCUAAGUUCAUCCAACCAAGGCCAAAAUAUUAUCUUUUCAUGUUCAAUAAAGAAAAAAAACAAACAAACAAAUAUAUAUCCAACAAAUCUGCUCAUAAAGCUAGUGUAUUAAUUACCAGAACAUCAAUUAUUUCAUACGAUUAUGAGUUUGGAGUAUGUAAAGUUAGACUUUGUGCGCAAAGUCGCAAACAUGCCUAUAUUGAAGAUCUCUAUAGCCAUUAAAAUUCAUAAAAAUUUUUAUUUAAUAACAAUAACAAAUCAAAUGAAAACAAAUAACAAUAAAAAAAAAUGCAGGUAAAAAGAAAAGGUCAGGGGAAAUUUUCCUAAUGCGGAGUCAUUAUAAAUUCUCAUCACUAAUAAAUAACAGCCAAAUCAACCACAAAUAAAAGGAAACAUAAAUUACAUUUAAUUUUUAGAGAAAACUAAUCCAAAAACCCAUUUAUAUUAAACCCGAAGCGAGAGAGAUGAGCCCCUAAUUUAAACAAUAGAGCCAAGGGCUUAAACCCUCGACCUAAACUAUAGACCAUUUUGAUUCGACUACCUUAUCUUUCAAAAUUUUAAUUUUAUCACUCAAUCUUUCGAUUUGUCUAAUUUAAGUCAUACGAUGGCUCUUCCAAUAUAAAAUUUAAGCUAAUUGCUUACUUUAAUAAAUUUACAGUUAUAUGAAUUGCAUAAAACGUAUUAAUUAAUCUAUAAACAUAAUCGAUGCACUCAAAAUUUAAAGUUAAAGAGUAAUUAACUAGCUCAAAUCAAAUAACUUAAAAGAUUAGGGAGCAAAAUCAAGAUUAUUAAAGAUUAUCUAGCCAGAUCAAAAUCGGUGAUAGUUAAGGUAAGUUCUAUACAUUUUUACUGAAAAAUUAAUAAAUUCUUUUCAAUUUUAACUAAGGGGCUGUUCCACGUAAAACUGCGAAAAAAAAUUUUUGGUGGACAAAAAAUUUUCGGAGGAAAAUAACUUUUACGCUCUUUAGCGUUUGGUUUGCAGGAAAAAAAAAUAAUUCUCCGUUACGGUUGUUUGGUUGAAAGGAAAAAAUAGAAAAAGAAAGAAAAAAUUAUAAAUAAAAAAUUAUUAUAUAUAUAUAUAUAUUUUUAUUUUAUAUAUUAUAUAUUAUUAAUAUAUAAUAAUUAUCAUAUUAUUUAUAUUAAUAUUAUAAUUUAUAUUUAUAAAUAAAAUAUAUUUAAAAUAUAUUAUACNUCCAUCCUCUCCUCAUGCGGUCCACGACAUGGAGCGGAUCUUGUGGACCGCGUGAUUUACAUCCCCCGCGCGGCGUGCCCAACGCCGCGCUUUUCGUUUUCGCUCGAUUCGAGCGGAAAACGAAAACUCCCAUUUUACGCCGAAUCUGUAAAAAAAAUUUUCCGGGAAAAUUUUUUUACAAGCAAUCAAACGCUAUAUUUUAACUUUUCAACCGAAAAAAAAUUUUCGGGAUGGUUUUACAACGAUCUAUGAAUUUGCAAAAACAAGAAAAAAAAAGAGUACAGAAAGAUGCAAAAAAAGAUUUUACAAGCAAUCUAUGAAUUUCUCACACUGCUUAUACUCGACUACAGGAAGUAAGAAGAAGAUUACCUAAAGUUGAUCCCAGAGUGUGGAAGCUGCACUGAAGAGAGAAAAUUAAAGCAUGUGUAACUACUGCCCAAAUGUGAGUAUUAUUUUAUGAAACGAAUGCAUGAACAAAAAUCUAAUGCAUUUUUAUAGCCAUGGAGGUAGGGGUGUAAAUGAGCCGAACACGAGCGAGCUGGGUCGGCUCGUGUUCGGCUCGUUUAAUAAACGAGCCGAACACGAGCUGACUCGUCGUUAAAGUAUCGAGCCAAAAAAUUUAGCUCGUGUUCUGCUCGUUAAUAAAUGAGCCGAACACGAGCUGACUCAUUAAAGUAUCGAGCCAAAAAAUUUAGCUCGUGUUCUGCUUGUUAAUAAACGAGCUGAACACGAGUCGGCUCACGAGCUCGCCAACGAACAAUAAAUUAAAAGAAUUAGAUUGAAUAUAUAUAAAAAAUAAAUUUAUAAAAUCUUAUCCAUUAGAUUUUGAUCUAAUUANUUCUAUGUUUGAAAAUUAACUUUCAAACAUUCACUUGGGGAUAAUAUUUCAUAUUCAAUUACUAAGAAAUUGUAUAAUAUAAUUUUUCAGUUGCAAUAUUUUAUAUUUACAUAUAAUUUCGAUGCAAAAAAUUUUAAAUUAGAAACAAGUUUACGAGUUUAUUUCAUAAUCAAAUCAUACAAAUAAAUUCAAAAUUGGCUAAACUUUUAACCUUGGUUUAAGUCAGGUUCGAGUUUAAGGGGUAGACUAAAUGAUUUCAAUAAUAUAUUAUUUUUUAUUUAAAAUUGAAUGCAAUAUAUUAGUAAAGAAAAGUUAAUUUAGGAAAGGUAAUUACACAUCUUCCUUACUUGUAACGCCAAACCUUUCUAGCUAAAGAGGAUAUGUUAUAAGAUGUAAAUUUAUCAAAAUGCCCUUGUUGCAAAAAAAAAAAAUUGCCCAAUUAAGAGUUGACCGAUACCGAUGGUAUCAAAUACUGGUCAUCCUCUUUUAAAGGGUGCAUCUUGGCCGUCCAUUUAAAAAAUUUUAAUGGUUAAGAUGUUUUUGGUGUAUAGGAGCAUUGCUCACAAAUAUAUAUCCAACAAAUCUGUUCAUAAAGCUAGUGUAUUAAUUACCAAAACAUCAAUUAUUUCAUACAAUUAUGAGUUUGGAGUAUGUAAAGUUAGACUUUGUGCGCAAAGUCGCAAACAUCGCCUAUAUUGAAGAUCUCUAUAGCCAUUAAAUUUCAUAAGAAUUUUUAUUUAAUAACAAUAACAAAUCAAAUGAAAACAAAUAACAAUAAAAAAAAAAUGCAGGUAAAAAGAAAAGGUCAGGGGAAAUUUUCCUAAUGCGGAGUCAUUAUAAAUUCUCAUCACUAAUAAAUAACAGCCAAAUCAACCACAAAUAAAAGGAAACAUAAAUUACAUUUAAUUUUUAGAGAAAACUAAUCCAAAAACACAUUUAUAUUAAACCCGAAGCGAGAGAGAUGAGCCCCUAAUUUAAACAAUAGAGCCAAGGGCUUAAACCCUCGACCUAAACUAUAGACCAUUUUGAUUCGACUACCUUAUCUUUCAAAAUUUUAAUUUUAGCACCCAAUCUUUCGAUUUGUCUAAUUUAAAUCAUACGAUGGCUCUUCCAAUAUAAAAUUUAAGCUAAUUGCUUAUUUUAAUAAAUUUACAGUUAUAUGAAUUGCAUAAGAUGUAUUAAUUAAUCUAUAAAGAUAAUCGAUGUACUCAAAAUUUAAAGUUAAAGAGUAAUUAACUAGUUCAAAUCAAAUAACUUAAAAGAUUAGGGAGCAAAAUCAAGAUUAUUAAAGAUUAUCUAGCCAGAUCAAAAUCGGUGAUAGUUAAGGUAAGUUCUAUACAUUUUUACUAAAAAAUUUAUAAAUUCUUUUCAAUUUUAACUAAGGGGCUAUUCCAUAUAAAACUGCGAAAAAAAAAUUUUGGUGGACAAAAAAUUUUCGGAGGAAAAUAACUUUUACGCUCUUUAGCGUUUGGUUUGCAGGAAAAAAAAAUAGUUUUUCAUUACGAUUAUUUGGUUGAAAGGAAAAAAUAGGAAAAGAAAGAAAAAAUUAUAAAUAAAAAAUUAUUUUAUAUAUAUAUAUAUAUAUAUAUAUAUAUAUAUAUUAUUAAUAUAUAAUAAUUAUCAUAUUAUUUAUAUUAAUAUUAUAAUUUAUAUUUAUAAAUAAAAUAUAUUUAAAAUAUAUUAUACAAUAAACUAAUAUAUGAUUACAUAUAAUAGUAUAUUAUAUAUAUUUAAUACUAUACAUAAAUUUAUAAAUAAUAUUUAUAAAUAAAAUAUUAUAUAAUUAUCUAUAUAUAUAUAUGAGGUCCAUCCUCCUCACGCGUCCAUGACAUGAGCGGAUCUCGUGGACGCCGUGAUUUACAUCCGCGCGAGCGUGCCCAACGCCGCGCUUUUCGUUUUCGCUCGCUUCGAGGCGAAAACGAAAACUCCCAUUUUACGACCGAAUCUGUAAAAAAAAAUUUUCGGCGAAAAAUUUUUUACAAGCAAUCAACGGUAGAUUUUAAACUUUUCAACAUACGAAAAAAAAUAUUUCGGAGAUGGUUUUACAACGAUCAUAUGAAGUUGCAAAAAACAAGAAAGAAAAAGAGUACAGAAGAUAGCACAAAAUAUUUUAACUAAAAAUUUCUUAUUCGUUUUUUUUUUUUCUUUUUUAAGAUCUAUGAAGAAAAUUUCACUCAAGAGUCUCCUCUUAAAAAAAAAAAACAAAAAAUUCUGUCAGAAGUUGCACAAACAAAGAAAAAAAAAGAGUGCAGAAAGAUGCAAAAAAACGGGGAAAUUAAGUACAUUUUAAUGCAAAAUGACCCAAUAAAAAUUUCUCACACUGCUUAUACUCGACUACAGGAAAAGUAAGAAGAAGAUUACCUAAAGUUGAUCCAGAGAUGUGGAAGCUGCACUGAAGAGAGAAAAUUAAAGCAUGUGUAACUACUGCCAAAUGUGAGUAUUAUUUUAUGAAAAAACAUAAUGCAUGAACAAAAAUCUAAUGCAUUUUUAUAGCCAUGGAGGUAGGGGUGUAAAUGAGCCGAACACGAGCGAGCUGGGUCGGCUCGUGUUCGGCUCGUUUAAUAAACCAGCCCAACAAGAGCUGGCUCGUCGUUAAAGUAUCGAAGGCCAAAAAAUUUAGCUCGUUGUUCUGCUCGUUAAUAAAUGAGCGAACACGAGCAUGACUCAUGAGCUGGCAGCCACGAAACAGUAAAUCAAAAAGAUUUAAAAGGAUAUAUACAUAGGAAAUAAUUUUAUGAAAUCUUACUUAUUAGACUUUGAUCUAAUAAGCUGAAACUUUACGCAUAAAUAAACUUUUUUAUAAUUAUAAUUGAGUUAGACUUUUAUAUUUAGGUUAGGCUAAAAAAUAUAUUAUAUAUAUAUAAUUAAUUAUUUAUAUAUAUAAAUAUAAAUUAAAUAAAUUAUAUGAAUAUAAAAUAUAUGUAUUCGAGCUGUUAUCGAGCCGAACACGAGCGAGCUGACCCCAGCUCGUGUUCGGCUCGUUUAAAAAAUUCGACUAGUGUUCGGCUCGUUUACUAAACGAGCGAGCCGAUCUCGAGCUCAUUUCAAGCCGAACACGAGCUGGCUCACGAACAACGAGCUGGAUUGCCACCCCUACAUGGAGGUGGAAAAGAAGAAGGAAAAGUAUAGCUGGACUCCCGGUUGAAGACGUACAACCCCAUGUGGGUUGUACCACAACCCCAUGUGGGUUGUACCAGUAGCAUAGCUCAAAGAAGAAAUAUCAUACCUCUUUAGGACAAUUUCAUCUAUACCCUUCUAAAACCAUUUAAUUUCAUAAAUAUCCAACUAAAAAUUAAAAUAUCAUGUAUACCCUCCAAAUUUGAAAAACUUUCAAAAAUAACCAUACAAUCAAGUUUCCAUCCAAAUUAAAGUUAGUUACUAUUUAAAUUUCAACUUUGCCGCUCUAAUAUUUCAAAAUGAAUAAACUCUAUCUAGACUAAAAAUUUAGUAAAAUUCAAUUGAUUUUAGUUUAAAAAAAAUAUUCACUUCAAUUAAAAAUAAAUAUUUCUCCUUGGAAUAAAUUAUAGUUAAGUUUAAUUUUAUUUUGCUUCAUUGCUAAUUUAACUACAAUUUAUCCAAACAAAAAUAUUUAUUUUUAAUUAAAAUGAAUAAUUUUUUAAAAUUAAAAUUAAUUGAAUUGUACUUAGUUAAUUUUGAAAUAUAAUAGAGAAUAUUUAUGAAAUAAAAUAAUUGACUAUUGAAUACAUAAGAGGGGUAAAGUUGGAAUUUAAAUACUAAUUAACUUUAAUUUAGAUAGAAGCUUAAUGGUAGAGUUAUUUUUAAAAGUUUUUCAAAUUUGAAGAGUAUACAUUAUAUUUUAAUUUUUAGAUGAAUAUUUAUAAAAUUAGAUGGUUUAUAAGGGCACGGAGGAAAUUUUCCGUACCUUUUAUGGUUGGGGGAAAAGGGAGACCUCUUUUCAGACCUCAAAAGUUAUUGCCUUUGCACCUUUCUUGGAAUUAGCUGCCGACGAAGCUACCCACGAAGCUUCCGACGAAGCUGCAAUCCUGUUGAGCACAUGAAGCACUGCAUGUUCGGCCAUGCUGCCUAGCUCUUCUGUUGCGAUGUUAUAUUGUUACAGCAGCAAUCCAAUCCUGAAAUUAUUUGAACGGCAAUAGUAGGUAGGAUAAAGGAGCAGGAUGAGACAUAUGCAGCUGAUAUUGAAACAUCCGUCGAAUAUAAUUGCUAAGAACGUCGUUCUCUAGAAGCUUAAGUUUUAGAGAAAAAGGGUCGUUUCGUUAUGUUUAACUUGGUAUCAAAGGUAUGACGUUUUGAGUUCGAAUCCUGUCAAACUUCUUGCAUUAUUAAUUUUCUCUUUAAAAAUAUGAUUUAAUUACCAAUCUGAAGUAUGAGAUGAAUCUUAACUGAGCACUGAAAGAUAUUAGUCUCGACUGAGUCACGCUCUGAAUGUUAGGGUGGGUGCUCGAGAGCCUCACGGAAAUGUCAGGCUUAAGGGGGAGAGGAAUGUGACAAGGGUGCUCGAGCCUAACGGGAAUGUCAGGACUUAAAAAAAGAAAGAAUGUGACACCGCCGGAAUUUAGAAUAGUCAUAUAUAAAAGAUAUAAUAGGGCUAAACCUAUCAACACGACUAGCAUUUUGGCGGCGGAGGUCCUGAGCUCGAGUCCCGUCACACUCUCAGCAUUAUUAAUUUCCUCUUUAAGAAUAUCAUUUUCUAACAGCUUAAGCUUUCAGAGAAUAAUAGUUUUUUUAUUUAUUUUAUUUAGAAAUAAAUUUAACUAGAAAUGUGAAUCAACUAGGAUUCGAACUUGGGAUCUUGGAUACCAAUCACAAAGCCCUUUGUCGCUUGCGCUAGGAAUGGUCAGUUUAAACCUUGGGCACUAACUUGAUACACUUUAAAUCACAGGAUACUAAAGUGAAAAAAUGAGGAGCCACAUAAGUGGUGUUUUUUUGAGUGGUGUAUUCAUAUAUUUUAAUAUGACUAAUAAUUCAAUGAUUUAUUUGAAAUUGCAUGGAGAUUACGUUAUAUGCUGUUGAAAAAGUGAAAUAAGAAAUAAUCCGUUUAUUUUUGUAAAUAAUAUUUGCCACCGUAAGGCAAAUAAUUGGAUGACCUGGCUAGCUAUUUACAUGUGAUAUAUAUAACUAUAAUUACGUAUUUUUAAAUGUUUUGUGACUAUUUGAUAUCCAUAUAAAAUAUCAAAAUAUUAUUAUUUUUCUUUAUGAUUUUUUUUAGACAGGUUAUUCAAAGUAUGUGAAUUUCAUAUGAUAAUUUAUCAUUUAUAUUCAAAGUAUGUGAAGCCUUGGCAACAGAGUUGUCUAUUGCUGAAUAAACGAUAAGAAACAAAUUAAAAGUGGCUAGUUACUUGAAUAGAUGUAUACGGACUUCGCUAUUAAAAAUAUCCGUCUCAAUAUAGAUGUGUUGGUCGUGAUUCGUGAACACAUUAUACUACAGCCAAUAUCAGUUAUUCAAAAGAAUAAACAGUACUUUUGCAUGGUCCACUGGGCCUUAAAGCUACUCGUAGAGUCACUUACCAGGGUUUUUUUUUUUUUUUUUUUAGAGAUAGGUAGCACGCUACCCGUUUCGUUUAUUUCAUUUAGAAAUAAAAUUACUUAAAAAUAUGAAUCAACUAGAAUUCGAACUUGGAUCUCGAAUACCAACCACCAAGUUCUUUGCCACUUGCUCUAGGGACGGUUGGGGUCACUUACCAGGGUUGAGCUUCCAUGUUGACGGUCCAAGGGAGGUUGCAUCUAUAUGCUGUUUUGGGAUAACCACGUGGAGGUUCGAAUUAUAAACCACCAGUCGUUGGAUAUCUUUGAGUUUGGUUGGUCUAUUCCAACCUUGAUGGGUAGGAUACUCUGCGCUAGCUUGUUGAACACUUUGGUUUGGAUUUGGUUGACUUGCCUAAUAUAAAAUUCUAUGCUAGCCUAUCCCCAUCUGCCCGUAUAGAGUGCAGUUUACAUAUAUUAACACAAAGACCUUCUUCAAUAUAUGUAGUUUGUAGAGACUGUAGUUGCAUGUUAUUAUUUACAUGAUUUGUCUAACUUUUCUGUAAUGUAUUUUAGACACUUGAGAUGCUAGAAAAGAAGGAGAAAGUCCUCCUGAAGAAAGCAGCUGCUGAGGUUGAGAGGGCCAAGGAGUUCACCAGAGCAAAGAACAAAAGGGGUAUGCCAGCCGCGCCCCCCCUUUUCUUUUCUUUUUUUUUCCGUAAAGAAACCAAUGCAUUUUGUUUUUCAAUCUUGUAGCAUUUGCCUGUGUAACGGAUAUAUUAUUGUUCAUAACAUGUCUAAAUGUACUUUGCCAUGACUAUAUAUUAGCUGUGCUUUAACUUUGAAAAUAAGUAGCAGUAGUACUAGUCGUUUUUUCAUUUUUAAUAUGUACUUCUUGUCUGAGCUUUUUUUAUUUUUGAAUAUUAGCUGCCAUACAAUGCUUGAAGAGGAAGAGACUUUACGAGCAGUAAAUUGAACAGCUUGGAAAUUUCCAGUUAAGAAUUCAUGAUCAGGUACAGAGAGAAAUUAAUAAACAUACUAUUUCCUUCUGCAUUUAUGCCAUUAACUUCUUUAAUCUUUCAAUGAGAACUUAUCAUUGAUUAUCUGGAACAGAUGAUAAUGCUGAAAGGUGCAAAAACCACAACGGAGACUGUUGAUGCAUUGAGAACAGGAGCUACUGUAAUGAAGGCUAUGCAGAAAGCCACGUGAGUAGCUACUGCAAACUUGUCGAGUUCUUUGAAUUUUGGCAAUGUCUUGAAGUUACGUGUCUUUAUUAGCUGUCGUGUCUGCCUUAUACUUUAUUUGCUGAACCGUCAAAUCUGUACGAAAUUUUUUGGUCAAAAAUUACAUAUGUACCCACCAAGACUCCAAGUACAUGUAUUCCAUAGAUGCCCUCGAAAAGUGGAAAUACUAUAAAUGCCCAUUUAUAUGUGAAAAUUCUUGAAAAUGCCCUUGAAAAUGCACUUGAUGAUUUUCAUAAAUGCCCUUUGGAAAGGUUUUUAUUUGUCUUUAUGUAUCUUUACUGGGUCUUCUUGAUAUUUCAGUUCUUAAAUAUGCUUGACAUAUUUACAUACAUAUAUCUCUGUGUAUCUAAUUGCAAAGUAAAGCCUUGCUGAAUCUAAAUUUUCGUAUGUAGCCUUCAAAAAUUUAACUAUCUUUACACCCUACUACGUAUGAGAAAGCCCCUAUUUAAAAGACCUUUUCUUAUACAGAACCAACUUCUUGCCAUUGUUUAGAUGUCUCCCCAACUUAAGUUUGUUUUUGCACGAAACUGCUGUUUCGAAGAAUUUCUACAUAUAUACUCCAAAAUUCAGGUUUUACAGGAGUAUAUGUGGAAACAGAUGAUUUUACAGGGAUAUAUUAGAAGCUUAUUAAUUUGCAUGUGAGGAUCCCUUUAGUUUGGGUUUUGUUAGAAUUUGGUUAGAUUUGUAGUUAAAUACUAUUUGAAUAAGAAUUAAUAUUUAAAUCUGUUUGAGAUAAAUUAAGAUUUAAAUAUUAAUUAGAACAUAAACCUAACUAGAUUAGGAUUAAUAUUUAAAUCUAUUAGAGAUUGAUUAAGAUAGAUUUAGAUAUUAAUUAAAGUAUGAAUCCUAAAUAUAUUAGGAUUGGGGUACGUUUUAAGUUGAGUAUUAUAAAUAGGCAUUGUGGCUCUCUUAAAAAUCCGAUUUGACGUUUUCGUUGCGGAAUCCCAACAAUCGAUACCGGAUCCACAGCAGUCGGUAUCGGAGCAGGUUGCGGAUUCACGAGAUCCGGUACCGGGGCGAGUACCGGAUUCCCAACAAGUGGUAUCAGAGCCGAAGGUUACCGAUCUGCGGGAGAGAUCGACGGAGAUGGCCACGAAAUUCGAAAUCGAGAAGUUCGACGGCAAGAACAAUUUCGGAUUAUGGCAAAUUAAAGCACGAGCAAUCCUCGUACAGCAAAAGUUAGACGAGACGUUGAACGGGAAGGAGGCAAAGCUAGCGGACGUCACGGAUGCUGCAUGGACUAAGAUGGAGCGGAAGGUGCUGAGUACGCUUCAUCUAUCAUUAGCAGAUGAUGUUCUUUACAAUGUAGCCGGCGAGACGACACCGGCGAAAUUGUGGAAGAAAUUGGAAGAUCUGUACAUGACCAAAUCCCUGACGAACAGAUUGUAUCUGAAGCAGCGACUGUUUAUGUUGCGGAUGCAAGAAGCGGCGAGCCUACAUGAUCAUCUAAAUGAGUUCAACAAGAUGGUGGUCCAGUUGACCAGUAUCGGAGUCAAUCUGGAUGACGAGGACAAGGCGCUGAUUUUACUAUCUUCGCUAUCGACGACAUAUGAGCAUCUGGUGACUACGUUGCUUUAUGGCAAGGAGACCAUAAGCGUGGAGGUGGUCACGGCGGCGCUUCUCUCGAACGAGAUGCGGAAGAUGACUCAGGAGUCUAGCACGUAGAGCCGGGAUACUACUUUGGUGGUGAGAGCGAAGAAGGAGGUGAAAAUAUCGGCGACCGGAGAUAGACAGAAGAAGACGUUAUCUGAGGUAGAAUGCUUUUACAGUCACAGGAAGGGGCAUAUCAAGCGCAAUUGUCGAAAAUUUCAGGAUGAUCUGAAGGAGUUAAAGCGACAGAAGGAGCAAACUGUCGUGAACCAGGACGAGACGGUAUCAGCGACGGCGCAGACAGCAGAGUCGGAGAUGAUCGAUUCUGAUGUGCUGUAUGCGGCGACCGGAGGUGCGAAAAUUUCGGACGAUACGUGGGUGCUCAAUUCGGCGUGUUCUUUUCACGUAUGCCCGGAGAAGGAGUCUUUUGCCACCUAUAAGGUGAUCAAAGGUGGAAAUGCGCUGAUAGGGAACGGGACAGCGUGCAAAGUAUUGGGAGUCGGCAUGGUGAAAAUCCGAAUGCACGAUGGGGUCGUGAGGACGCUGACAGGUGUGUGGCACGUUCCUGGAUUGAAGCGGAAUUUGAUCUCAUUAGACGCAUUGGACUCGAAGGGUUGCGAUUUUUCAGCUUCAGGUGGAGCUAUGAGCGUCCGAAAACGAGAUCGAGUCGUAUGCGAGGCGAACAAGCGUGGGAACUUAUACGUUCUGAACUGGAGCACAGCCAGAACGGGAGCAAAGACGGUUUGGGUUCCAAAAGUUCGCGGAUGUGCAGUUGCUCGAGACGGAGCGACGGAUGCGGCGACAUCGAGCGGAGGAGACAAGCUCAAGGUGGAGCUUACAUGGUGAGCUCAACGUAGCGGUUGAAAAUUACAAAUCAAACCAAGGUGGAGAAUGUUAGGAUUUGGUUAGAUUUGUAGUUAAAUCCUAUUUGGAUAAUAAUUAAUAUUUAAAUCUGUUUGAGAUAAAUUAAGAUUUAAAUAUUAAUUAGAGGAUAAACCUAACUAGAUUAGAAUUAAUAUUUAAAUCUAUUACAGAUUGAUUAAGAUAGAUUUAGAUACUAAUUAAAGUAUGAAUCCUAAAUACAUUAGGAUUGGGGUACGUUUUAAUUUGAGCAUUAUAAAUAGGCAUUAUGGCUCUCUUUUUUGGGUGUAGUACGGUUGGAACCAUUGGGGUGUCGUACCAGAGAGAGAAAAAGAGAGAGAGAGAGUUAUUUUAGUGCACCUUGUGCACGGGUGCACGCGGAGAAGUCUUCUUUGUGGGUUUAUAGAAGACGAGAGAAGGGUAAAAGAGAUUCAAGAAGGAGGGCUCGGGUUGUAACUACUCUGUGCAGAAGAGGAGUCAGGUGUAAUCUUCUCUUAUUUAAUGAAUCUUAUUUUACCUGUAUAUUUUUCUCUUUUAUGAUUGUAUCAGCUUUUCCCGAGGAGACGGGUUUAUGGUAAAAAUCCGAUUCGACGUUUCCGUUGUGGAAUCCCAACAAUCGAUACCGGAUCCACAGCAGUCGGUAUCGGAGCAGAUUGCGGAUUCACGAGAUUCUGUACCGGGGCGAGUAUGGGAUUCCCAACAGGUUUGAGUAAUGAUACCUGCUAAUAUUUCCCUUUUUCUUCUUUUGCAGAAAUAUUGAUGAUGUUGACAAGACAAUGGAUGAAAUAAAUGAACAAACAGAGAACAUGAAACAAAUACAGGAAGCAUUAUCGGCGCCUAUCGGAAUUGCUGCUGAUUUUGAUGAGGUAUUGCUGUUUAUUUUUUUCUUUCAAAUGACUUAACCGCUUGCUCUUCUUUCUUUCUUUGGCAUAUUGAUUACCUGUUAAUGCUUUCCAUAAUUGGCAGGAUGAAUUGGAAGCAGAACUUGAAGAGCUUGAGGGAGCAGAGUUGGAGGAACAGCUUCUCCAACCAGCUACGACUGCUCCAGUUGCUCCAGUACAUGUGCCAGCUGGUAAGCAACCGGCUCGGGCCACUCCUCAGAAAACUACUGCAACUACAGCUGAAGAGGAUGAACUCGCGGCGUUACAAGCAGAAAUGGCAAUGUAGACAGGUACGGGAUCUUUAAAUUGUAGAAUUACUGCUAUAGUUUCUUAUGAAACUAAUGUUGUAUCAACUAGUAUAACAAACUAUUGACUUUUCGCAAAAAUUACUUUUGUCAUUGAGUUCUGUAAGAAUAAUGAGCUUUCUAUUUACCAAAUCCUCUAUCAUGCAUCAUGAAUGUUCGUGAACUGCCUGCUGCUAUCAUGAAAGUAGGGUUAGUUUGGAAGCUGCUGGUGUAAAUUUAGCGUGUACUCCAAUUUCGUUCUUAGUACUUUAACCAUGGCCAUUUAGUCCCUGCUGGUGUACUUAGAUUUCGUUCUCAUAAUUUUAACUGCGACCAUUUAGUCCCUAUUGGUUGACUCCGCAUUCAUUUUCAUCUUCGGAGUUUGCAUUUUGCUAAGCAAAGUCUAAUGAUGGUGCUGACUUGGCGUCUAGUUUAGCCAAUAUACACUGAAAGGAUCUAAUUGCCAUGCAAAACAGACUUUGGGAACUAUGUCAAAAAAAAAAAAAGAGAAAGAGAGAGAAGAGAGAGAAAAAGGAAUCCUAUAAUUAAUCCAAGAAUCCAUCAUUCUUUUCACAGUAUCAUGUAGCAUAAACAACUUUUAAUCAGAUAUUUCACAAAUGCUGUUUUAACAUAAUUACAAGUUUUAUAUUCUGAUAGUCUCUGCUAAUUUUUAUAUUAUACCACCUUGAUGCUGAGGACAUUAAUCCCUUUAUUCAUUUGUUUGCGCUCCUUGGUUUCUGAACCAUUGACAUUAAUAUUUUUUAUCCUAUGUUUUAAUGAUUAUAUAUAUUGGUUAAAUUCUGCAGGACUUUGAUGCACAAGUGAGACCAAAUAAUGUGAAAAUUAUUGGUGAUACUUAAAUCUGGUGUUGAGAUCUCUACAUUGAUCAAGUCGAGUAUAUGUGUGUGUGUGUGUGUGUGUACAUCCUAGGGGGGAUAUUUAUUUAUGAUGAUAAGAACCUGCCUCACUGAUUAACUUCGUGUGUAAUGAUAGUUCCUUUGGGUUUUGUUUGUUAUCCAUGAUUGGAUUGGAUAGAACAAGACGUUAUUUGGAGGUGUCAGGAGUUGCUGAGAGGAAUCCGAUCGGAUUAAAUAUCGUUCUCUUUGGAUGGGAUUGUUGAAUUCCACCACCUGAGAGGGAACAAAAACUUUAUGUGGAUGGUCCCCACAGCGAGACCAUCAAAUCCACUUUUCGUCCAUCAAGUAAAAAUGCGCGAAUCUCAUAGCGACGAAAAUGGUGGAUUUGAUGUUCUCAUCCUAGGGCCUUAUCCUUGCAGAACUUUUGUUCCUUUGGAGGUAAGAGAUAAAAUGGGAUUUCAUUCCAAAACAUUUGGUUGUAUACCACAUCAGCUCCGCUCCCUAUUCGUCGUGAUAUUCGACACCUUUGAGUCAGUAAAUCCUUUCUCUCUUUUGAUAUUUCCUAGUCAUUUUAUUCUAUUCAAUCCAAUUCAGAAUAUUAAACAAGUCUUGGCAUGUUAUAUUUUUGUCCUCGAUCUUAUGCAAACUUAACUGCUUUGCUCAUUGAUAUCUGGUACACAUGAAUGUGAAGCCAUGUUUCCAUGAAAACCUACUAGCCCAAAUAUGACCAUUCUGUUGCUAAUGAGCUUUAAACUCGAAGUAAUUUUACGUGCACUUAAGUCCUUUUUUUUGUAAAAAUCUUGUAUGUAGGUUGGUCUGAACAAGAAUUAUGGGUGAAUAAUAAUUUACAUGAAACUCGCGGAUGAAUAAGGUUGUUCGCCUGGUCGUCCCUAAAUUCUUUCGAUAUUGUUUACAAGGUUUUCUAAACUUGCGAUUUGCGUUCUAAUCUCUUCAAUCAUUAUGAGUUUCGGCGUGUAUGAUGUAGAAGAUUUUCAAUAAUUACUAAAGGAAUCAUUUGAGGUUUUUUUAAUAAAAAAAAAAGGAAAAGAAGAUCUCUAAGAUGAACCUCAUAUGGAGGGACGCAAACGCAGCAGAUCCUGGGGCGGGAGGAGUCCCCUACCUUUUGCUCCGUUUUUUUGGCGGGUUGGGACUGAUUCGAAACAAAUUAAUUUUUAUCUUAUUUUUUAUUACUACUUAUUGCUCCAUUCGAAAAUCGAAGGAAGGGUUUUUCAUCUCUUACUCAAUCUCUCACUCAAUAUUCUUAGCGGAUCGGGGCGGAUUGAGAGCAGAUUAUUGUUUUUCUUUAAUUUUGGCCCUCACCGCCGGAAGCUCCACCUAUCCGGAUCCAUUCUCAUCCUACCCAUAUGAACCUCCAUACGUACUCUUUUACCCUUUAGGGCUUGUUUGGUUCGAGAUACGAAUUGGAAUGGAUAAUGGAAUGGGAAUGAAUUAGAAUGACAAUUGGAUUGUCCCACUCUCUCAAGACGUUUGGUUUAUUUCUGGAUUGAAAAUCGAAAUGAAUUAUUUCUAUUUCACUGUUUGGUUGAUACAAAAUAAAAAAAUAAUAGAAUAACAUAAUACUAAUUUUACUUUUAAAUAUAAUUUUUUAAAACUAUCUAAAAUUUAUAAAAAAAAAAUUAAUACUACUCUCAAGUUAGAGCUAUGCCAAAAAAAAGAAAUUUAUUUUAAAAAUUUUUAUGCAAGAAAUUACAAAAAAAUGCAUAAUUUUUUUUGAAUAAAAUUAUUAUAAAAAAUAAUAUAUCACGGUUUUUUUAAUGAUGAGAAAAGAGGGAAGAGAUCGGUACAGGGAGAGAAAGGAUGAAUAAGAAAGAGAAACAUUGGGCUGGAUCUGUGGAAGAGGUGAAUGUGGGCUUGGGAUUGAAACUUCAAUCCAGGCUUAGAGACCGGAAUUAAUUUAUAAGCUAAUGGGUCAUUCCCAUUCCGAUCCGGAAUGGAAGUCCCAAACCGAUUACUGUGAACCAAACAAAAUUAGCAGGAUUUGAUCAAACCGAUUUUCAUUCCGGAUCCAAAAUGUACUAACCAAACAUGCCCUAAAAGUAGUGUGCUAAAUACAGCAUCAAGAUUAGCAGAUAUGCAGGGAAAAGAGGGAAAAAAAAAGGAGAAAGAAAGAAAAAGUCACACGAAUUGAAUUUCAGCCACACGUGUUAAGAAAGAUAAUGCAGAACCAAAAUAAAUUUUAAUUCUCAAAAACUUUUUAUGCAGAAGGCCUUAUCUUAUUUAUAUAAAAUAAGUCUUAAUUUCACUCCUUAAAUCCCUCGAUUUUAAGAAUUUUUCUAAUGCAAGCACCAAAAAUUAAAACAAAAUAGAAAAAAUUUCUAAUACUUGAUGGAAACAAGUUAGUAUCAAUUCCCUCUUUGGUAUUACCCUGCAGUUUGAUAAGAUAAGGCUACAUAUAUUUACAGACUCCAUAUUGGAGCCAGAGUCAAAAGAGUUCGAGUACCAUAAUUUCUUUUAUUCAUUUGACAUGCAAAAAUAAAAAAAAAAGGAAAAAAAAAAUCUAAUUCCAACCUCAGGACGAAAAGAAAUCUAGUGGGAAGAAAUAAGAAUAAAUAUAAAUGUUUGGAGAUGAUAAAUUUGAUGACGAGAAGAAUUAGAUAGGCUAAAUUGCACUAUUAGUUCUCAAACUAUCAACUGUGUUACAUUUUGGUACUUGAACUUUAAAUUGUAGAAAUUUUUUUGUUCAAACAUCCUAGAAUGUCGCAACCAAAUACUUCAAUACAAUUUAAUUUACUAAAUAAUGAUGUCUCGUUGAUGUGACGGUGAUACAGUAUUACUAUAGUUGAUGAAAUAUAUGAAUAAUUAAGAUGUAUCAUGUAACAUUAUCAUCACGCUAGCGACACAUUAUUAUUCAACCAACAGAAGUACAGUCACUAUAGCACUUGAUUGCAGCUAAAUAGAAAUUAGGUACCAAAAAUUAUAACAAAUUCAAAUUUGAGGACCAAAAUGUCACAGGUUGCAUAGUUUGAGGACCGAAAGUGCAAUGUAGCCAAUGAGAUAAUAUUUGGAUUAAUUAGAGUAUUAGUAGUGCGUAGGGGUGGAAACGAGCCGAGCUCGAGCGAGCUUAGCUCGGCUCAAAUUCGGCUUGAAAUUAAUUUCGAGCUUAAAUUUAAGCUCAAGCUUGGAUUGAAAUUAAUUCGAGCCAAGCUCGAGCGAGCCUGAUUUCUUGUCGAGCGAGCUCGAGCCCUAAACGAGCCGCUUGAAAUUCUCAACAUUAUACGAUCAAUAGUUUAAUUUGUAUAGAACAUUAUCUAUAAUUUAAUACAAAAAUAUGUCUAAUAGUUCAAAGUACAAAAUAAUUAUAUGAAAUAUAGUAUUAUAAUAUGAAAAAAAAAUAAUUUAUGAGUUGAAUAUCUAAUUUUUUUAGCCUCACAUGCCUUUUCUUCCGCCUUCAAUCUCUAUAUUAUUUAUUUUCAUUUAUGCAGUCAAAAAUAAAUAAAUUAUAUAGAUAAAUAUUGGAUUAAACUAUCCAAUCAUAUAUAACUAAAAUUAAAAUUUUAUAUGAAUAAUAAUUUUUUACUUUAAAAAUAUUCUGUAUAUUUUCUCAAGCAUACAAUUAAUAGCAAGAUAGGCAACAGCGGGCAUAUGAUGUUACUUGGUAACUUAGAAGGCUUCCGGCUUGGCCACUUUGGGUGAGAGACAGAAAAAGAGAAAGAGAAAAACAUAUUGAAAAUUUAGAGCUUUGUAAAAGAAAGAAAUAAAUAAAGAAAAAAUAUAUAAAUUUAGUAAAAUUUUGCUCUUUUAUUUGUCUAUUGGGUUUGUUUUUAUGAGCCAAUAACAUUGGCCCAAUUUUAACUAAACUUAAAUUAUUCACUCAGCGUAUAUAUAAUUAAAAUAUAUUAUAUUUAUAUAUUUUUUAAUAUAUAUAUAUAUAUAUAUAGUUGGAUUGGGCUACAAUUAGUAGCAAAAUCUCAUUGUUGCUACCAGUUUUUUAGCCUUUUGAUCAACUCUUUUCAUUAUUUCUAACCACUGGAUUAAAUACUAUAACCCAGUGGGGACCACUCAAACCUAGGGGGAUCACUCAACUCUAACCGACUAAUAUCAUCCUGACCCUAUAAUUUUUCAUCCAAGAGUUAACAACUUGAUAGUAAAAAGAACGUUUUACUAUUAAUAGUAUUCCAGCCUAAUUCUCUCUCUCUCUAUAUAUAUAUAGUGUAGAACUACUAUGCUUGAAAAUAUAGAGGAUUUGAUAUUUUUGAAUUUUUGACCCUUUGAUUAAAAAUUGUAUGGUUGAGAUGAUUGCGGUCUUCCCUAGGAUUAAAUAAUACUCUUAGGAUUGAGUGGUCCCUACAAGGUAAUAAUAAUAUUAAUCCAAAGCUAAGAAACGAUUAAAGGGAUUGAUCUAAGAAUCAAAAAAUCGAAAACACCAGAUCUCUAUACUUUCGAUCAGCAAUAGCUCUACUAUAUAUAUAUAUAUAUUAUAUUAUAUAUAUAUAUUUCGAGCUUUUCGAGCUUUUCGAGCCUAAUUCGAACGAGCGGUAAUACUCAAGCUCGGCUGAAAUGAAUUUCGAGUCUUUUUUUUUGUUCAAGCUCGGCUCAUUUAAUUUCGAGUCGAGCUCGAGCGAGCCAAAAUAUCGAGUCGAAGCGAGUCGAAGCGAGCCGGCUCGCUCAUUUGCCAGCCUAGUAUGUGGUGGAUGCAACAAGAUAAAAAACAAAUCAAGAUAUUGACAAAUAUUCUGGAAAUUCAAUGUGUACAGUAUUACACAUAAAAAUUGAAUCCAAAAGUUUUUUUUUCGAUCAUCCAAUGCUUAUACUACAUAUUUUUGACAUAACAAAUAUCGCAAAUGCGCAAAUUGAAAUCCUUCCAUGUAUAUGUUGAAUAAUAAUAAUAAGAAAAUAAUGUGCAAAACUUACCUGAAAUAGGACUAUUUUUGAUCGGCUAUCCAACCUUUCUAAAAUUUUAAUUAUUAUUAUCCAAUCUUUCAAUUUGUAUGAUUUGAUCAGUCAAAUAUUUUGAGCUCAAAGUUUAAGCCGAUAUUUACUUUUAAAAUUACUUUUAUAGAAUAUGAGGCGUGUGGAUGAAAGAUUGAAAUUAACCUCUUACAAGUUCUAUUAUGAAGAGCUAAAAAAAACUAAGAAAAAAAACUAUAUACAUGAUAAAAUUAGUAGUAGCGCUCAUAUUAUAUAUGAACAACUGGUCCCACGUUGAACUUUCAGAAAUACAAAACAUAUUGAGACCCGAUUGUUUACAAAUCAUUUCGUAUAAGUUCGAUAUUGAACAUCGUCGUCUUUCUGCAUUAGACUGUGUGGGGAUAAUGUUGUAACCUUGCUUCCUGGUACCUAUAUAAUUGCGAGCUCUCCUAUGAUGACUCCUUGUAGGCUAAUGCUGAGAUACAUGCAUGCAGCGAUGCAGGUCACGACACCGCCAGGAUGCACGAUUAUUCCAGGCCUGGUUUUUUAUUUCGUAUUUAGAUAAUAAUUUUUCUGUUGCCGUGUAUGUUUAAUUCGUUUGGGAUAUAUAUAGUGCUAUAUUAUGGUGCCUAUGCGAACAUCUUUAUCAGUUUUCAAUAUUAAAGACGCGAUUUAUUUUGAUUUUGAUCUCUUAUUCUUUGGGUGAAACGAGCGGCGUCGGACGACUUAGCUCGGUCAAAUUUACGCUUGAAAUUGAAUUUCGAGCUUAAUUUAGCUCAAGACUUGGAUUGAAUUAUAUUCGGAGCCGAAGCUUUGACGAGCCUGAUUCAGUCGGCAGCCUCGAGCCCUAACGAGGCCUUGAAAUUUCAAAUGUAUACGAUCAUAGUUUAAUUUGUAUAGAACAUUAUCUAAUUUAAUGUACAAAAUAUGUCUAUAUGUUCAAGCUUACAAAAUAAUUAUAGAAAUAUAGUAGUAUAAUUAAUAUGAAAAAAAAUAAUUUAUGAGUUGAAUUAUCUAAUUUUUUAGCUCCAUUGUCACUUUUUCCGCCUUCAUCUCUUAUUUAUUUAUGUUCUUUAUGCCAGUCAAAAUAAAUAAGUUAUAAUAAUAUUGUUGUAAAUCUAUCCAUAUCAUAUAUAAUAAUUAAAAUUUUAUAUAAAAAUAAUUGUUAUUACGUUAAAAUAUGUUAUUGUAUGUUUCUCAAGCAUACAUUAUAGCAAGGUAGGCAAGAAGGGAUAGAUGUAUGAUGGUAACUUAAAGCACUUUGAGUGUGAGAAGGAAAAUAGGAAAGAAAAACAUAUUUGAAAAUUUAGAGCUUUGUAAAGAAAGAAGAUAAUAAAGAAAAUAAUAUAAUUUGUAAAUUUUGCGUCUUUUAUUUGUUUUAUUGGUUUGUUGUUUAUGAGCCAAUAACAUUUGGCAAUUUUUAACUAAACUUAAAUAUUCACUCAGCGCUUUAUAUAAUUAAAAUAUUUAUAUGUUCUAUUAUAUUUUUAGAAUAUUACUAAUAUAUAUACUUAGUUGGAUUGGGCUACAAUUGAUGUAGCAAAAUCUCUUGUUGUACCGUUUUUUAGCUUUUUGAUCAACUCUUUUAUUUAUUUCUAACCAUGGAUUGAUCUAUUACUUCCAAGUUGAUUUUGAAAGGCAGUAAUUUUCAGCCAAAGCGCAGCACUCAAACUUAGCGGGUAAAUUAAUACCAAUUUAAAAAACGCGAUAACUAAUCUAUUCACUCUUGUAACUGUGAACUAUCAUUUUAUCACCAUUAUUUGAGAAAAGUAUUGUCUCUAAGAAGAGUAGCGUUUUUUUAAAUCAUUAUGUAUUCAGUGGGAAAUUUCUCGCUCUCUUCUGAACGAUUAUUUGAUUGUCGAAAUAUAUAUAUAGUGUAGAAAUUGCUUAGCUAUAAAAUAUAGAGAGACUCUCGAUAAUUAAUUAGUAGACUUUUGACGUAUGAGAUUAAACAAUUGUAUGCUUUGAGUGCUUGGGUCUUCUCGAAUUAGGAAUCAUAAAUAGUGACUGAUUUAGCAUUGUAAUGUGUGUAUCUUUGUAAAGAGUCAAUCAUGUGUAUUAAUCUCUCAAAAUUAAAGUUAAGAAAUGACGUAUGAUUUAAGGCGCUAGUUGUAUUUAAUAGCUAGAUACAAAAAAUUAGAAGAAACACAUUUGAUCUCGUCUAUGAUUUAAGUGCAGAUUUGCAUGAGAUUAGCCUCAUACCUUGCCUGAGACGUCCGGAUCGACUGUAAACAAUACUACAUAACUACUAUGCCUAAUAUGCCUAUAUGCCCCUAUAGCGUUUGAUUACUUCUAAUAUAUUAUUAUAUGCCCCCUAAUAUAUGAUAUCUCUAGCAUUAAUUCAAAGUUUCAUUCGCAGCCAUUUAACGAGACGGUAUUAUUAUCAAGUCUCGGCUUGAAAUGAAUUUCGAGUCUUUUUUUUUGUUCAAGCUCGGCUCAUUUAAUUUCGAGUCGAGCUCGAGCGAGCCAAAUAUCGAGUCGAACGCGAGUCGAACGCGAGCCGGCUCGCUCAUUUGCCAGCCCUACAUAAGAGGGAUAAAGUUGGAAUUUAAAUACUAAUUAACUUUAAUUUAGAUAGAAAUUUGAUGGUAGGGUUAUUUUUGAAAGUUUUUCAAAUUUGGGGGCUAUACAUGAUAUUUUAAUUUUGAGUAAUGCUUCUAUACUUCUUUUUUUUUGGUUACCGUUCAUUCACGCGUAUUCAACGCCUCAGAUUUAGUUUUUUUAAAAUUGUGACCUGCAAUAGCAGGUCACUUUGGGAGAGGUACCGGUUACCAGGUACCUCAAAAAAAGAUAUUUUUAUUUUUUAAUACAUGAGCAAUUUAGUCAUUUUAUCUACUAUAUUUUCAAAAUUUUUAUUUUUUCUCUUUGUUUUCUUUUUCUCUCUCUAUCUUUCCUUUCAUAAUUGGGCAUUUCAUAUAAGAAAAAUUUCAAAUGAUUUGACGAUAUGAUCAUUUAAUUUAAACUUUAAAUAAUAAUAUGAAAUUCCUCUAAUUUAAAUUUCACUUUUAAAUUUAAAAUUUAAUAUUAUAUUCAAAUUUAUAUUUUAAAAAUUUAAGUUUCAUAUAAAUAUUUUGAAAUAUGGUAAACAAAAAUAAUUAUUCGAAUUCUAGUCUUCUGGUUUAGGUUUGGUUUUGGGUUUCAAAAAAUUGGUCAGUUUUGAAUUUGAAUAUGGAAUUUUGAAAUCCAUCGAGUUCGGAAAUAAGUUUUGUGGUUGUUAGUCAUAUUCGAAUUCAAAUUCCUAACUAUUUUUUUUCUCACCAAUAAUUCUAAUCUUUUUAAUUUAUAUGUAUAAAAUUAUAUUUAAAAUAUUUAUUAGCUCUAACAGUUAAAUUAUCAUUCUGUUUAAAAUAUUUAUUAUCUUUACCGAUUCCAAAUUGUUCUUAAUGUUAUUCGGUUUAAUAGGUUAAAAUCAGAUUCUUGAUAGAAUAGGUCAAAGUCUGAUCAGUCAAAUCAAUCGGUUCAAUCUAGUUUUUAAAUCAUUGAAUUUAAAAUUUAAAUAGUAAUAUGAAAUUUCUCUAGAGAANAAAUCUAGUUGUAGAAAUCUUACUCUCUAAGUUUUUUAUGCAUUACGUUUUAAACUGGUGCGAAUAAACUGUAUUUUAAAUCUUGGUAGAAAUUUAGUUUUUAAAUAGUAAUAUGAAAUUCCUCUAAUUUAAAUUUCACUUUUAAAUUUUAAGUAUUUAAUUUUUAAAAUUUAAAUUCAUCGUAUUUAGAAAUAAAACUAUUUCUAAAAUUUUUAUAAUUUAAAUUAAUGCAUAAUUUGAGAAACACUAAAACAUUUAAAGUAGAUUCCUAAAUUAAUGCCUAAUAAUUGCAUAAAUUUGGUUAAUCAAUUAAUUUCCUAAAUUAGUGCUAAUUAAUGCAUAAAUUUAGGAACUCAAUUAAAAGUUUCUUUAAAUAUUGUAUUAUUUAAUGACCAAACUAAUGUUGAAUAAAAUAAUCAUUUUACCUGCUAAGUAUUAAAGUUAUAUUUUUACCCUCUAUUAAUCAACGGUUAAGAUCUUUUUUAUUUUUUUUAAAAAAAGUACCGAAUCAUUUCUCUUUAAUUUUUAGAUGAAUAUUUAUGAAAUUAGAUGGUUUAUAAGGGUAUGGUCGUAUGGAGAAAAUUUUCCCCACCUAUUAUGACUGGAGAAAAAGGGUGGAAGAUGGCUGAAGACGAAGAUCUCUUCGAAGAUGCUUGUUCAGACCUCAGAGUCAUUGCCCUUGUCCCUUUCUUGGAAUUAGUGCUCCUCAGACCUGACUUGCCUCUGAAAUGAGUAUCUUUUCUUAUUAUUCUCCAUUUAUCUCAAUUUAUCUCUAUACUUUUAAAAAUAUGUAAGUAUUUAUAUUUGUGAUUUUUUAGCCGCCGGCUCGCCCAGUACUACUAAGGAAGACUUAUGGAAUAUAUUGCUAAUAAUGCUGUAUGGAUUUUAAGGCGAUUCGACGUUUUGAACGACGCAAGCACAAAUGUUCGUGUGCUUUUAGAAGCGCAGGAGUUCAACUCCUCUUUCACAUACAUAAUUUUUUGAAUGUUUUUAAAGUAAAUCCAUAAAAAAAUUUAUAAUUUGACAAAUAAUUUUAUCAAAAUUUUAUUUGGUCAAAUAAUUUUAUUUCAUACAAAUCAGCAUUAGAAUGAAAAAAUAAUUAAAAAACGAUGGAUCAUUCGUCAUUAUUAGUAUGGAAAAAAUAACCUAUAUAAAAUAAAUUUGUAAAUAACGAUAAUAAUCUGAAAAUGAAAAGUGAUUCAUCGUCUUUCUUAUUUUUAUUUCUCAUUUUUAUUUAGCAUGGCAGCAAGUUAGCAAUAAAAGAAUUUUAUGACUAACUAAAAUUUUAGAAGAAUUAUAUUAGCCAAAGAAUUUUUUAAAAAAUUUUAGAAAAAGUCCUAAUUUUUUUUAGCAAUGCUAACAUGUACCUCCAAAAGUGAUGAAACUCUGACAGAUUUCCAUCCAGUUUCUUUUUUUUUUCCCCUCCUUUCUUUUUUGCAGUAUUCCGAUCACGCUUCUUUUGUUUUAAAAGUAAAAUUCUAAAAAAGCUAUUUUAACUCCUGAAUAAAUUAAAUAUAAGAUUUACACCCAACUUGCUAAUUUUUUAUUCAAAUUUUCAGAAUUAUUAUAAUUAAGUUUAAUUUAGUUGACCAAAUUUAUAGACUUAGCUGGAACAUGUGAAUCAAUUAGAAUUCGAACUUAGUACCUCGGUAUCAACUAUUAAAUUAUUUGCCAAUUGCGUCGGAACCGUCAAUGGUACGCUAUUGUUUAGAAUUUAAAAUUAGGAUGGGAUGGAUGGUGAUGGGACCGAGUCGUGGACCUGGUCUACUAGGAAUAUCUCAAAAAAAAAAAAAAAAAAAAACUCUUCGACAAGCCCUAUGUAAUAAAGUCAAGCCCAUCACUGUACAAAUUGGCGACAUGGAAAUUAAGCCACUAAAUUAGUUGGAAUAAAAUAUCGGGUAAAUUACAACUACGGCCCUCAAACUAUGAGAGCGCUGACACUUCGGUUCUCAAACUUUAAUUUAUUAUAAUUUUUUACUAAAAUUUUAGAAUUAUUGCAAUUAUAUUCAAUUUAGUUGACCAAAUAUUAAUAUAUUGCUAAUACAAAGUAAUAUAGGGGUGCUGUAAUUGAUAAUACUCCGAAAAUUAAGAUAACACAUUAUUUUUACAUCGUCAAUACGUCAAUAUUCAGUUAAUUAAAUUAGGGUAUGGAACUUAAUUGCAAUAAUUUUAGAAGUUCAAAAUAAAAAUUAUUAUAAAUUAAAAUUUGAGGACUAAGAAAUCAACUGGCUCAUAGUUUGAGGUCCGCAUGUGCAAUUUACCUAAGUUAUUUGGAUGGAGUGACACUCUUUCUAAAGAAUUUUUUUAAAAUUUUUUUAAAAAGUCCUAUAUCUUAUUUUAACAAUGCUAACAUGUACAUUCAAAAGAGAUGUAAAUCUGACUGAUACCGACUGUCCCUAAAGCAAGUGACAAAGGACUUGAUAGUUGAUAUCCGCGGUUAGCAUGCUACCUAUCUCUCUCAAAAAAAAAAAAAGUAAAUCUGACCGAUUUCCAUCCAGGUUUUUUUUUUCUUUUUUCUUCCUUUCUUUUUUGCAGUAUUCUUAUCACGCUUCUUUUAUUUUAAUAGUAAAAUCCUAAAAGGGCUAUUUUAACUCUUGAAUGAAUUAAAUAUAAUAUUUACACCCAAUUUGUCAGCAUACGAUGUAGCAUUUUUCAUGAUUUUUUCAAAGUAGAAAAGAUAUAAAAUUUGUAGUGGCGUAUAUGAUUUAUAAGAUUUUAAAUAAUUUAUAAAGGAAUCAUUUGAGUUUUUUUUUAAAACAAAAACAAAGGAAAGAAGAUCUCCGUAUAUGGAGGGAUGCAAACGUGACGGCUCCUGGGACGAGAAGAGUCCCCUUCCUCGUGCUCCAUUUUUUUGACGGAUUGUGAUUAAUUUGGAAUAGAUUAAUUUUUAUCUUAUUUUUUACUCCUCCUUACUGCUCCAUUCAAAACUCAAAGGAAGGAAGAGUUUUUCGUCUCUUCCUCCAUCUCUCACUCAAUAUUCUUGACGGAUCAGGACGGAUUGAGCGCAUAUAUUUUUUUUCUCUAAUUUUGGCCCUCACUUAUCGUCGGGAGCUCCAAUCCGUAUCCAUUUUCAUCCUACUCAUAUGCACCUCCAUACAUACUCUUUUACCCUAUUUUAAAAAUAGCGUGCUAAAUACUGCAUCAAGAUUAGCAGAUAUGCAGAGAAAAGAGGGAAAAAAAAGAGAAAGAAAGAAAAAGCCAUACAAAUUGAAUUUCAGCCACUAGUGUUAAGAAAAAAAAUGCAGAACCAAAAUAAAUUUUAAUUCUCAAAAACUCUUUACGUAGAAAGCCUUAUCUUAUUUAUAUAAAAUAGGUCUUAAUUUCACUCCUUAAAUCCCUCGAUUUUAAGAAUUUUUCUAAUGCAAGCACCAAAAAUUAAAACAAAAUAGAAACAAAUUCUAAUACUUCAUGGAAACUAGUAUCAGUUCCCUCUUUGGUAUUACCCUACACUUUGAUAAGAUAAUGCUACAUAUAUUUACAGACUCCACAUUGGAGCCAGAGUCAAAGAGUUGGAGUACCAUAAUUUCUUUUAGGCUAAAUUACAGAAAACCUCCCUGUAAUAACCCGCUUUUUCACUUUCCCCCCUUGACAUUUAAAAACCUACACUUUGCCCCCUUGUAAAAUGAAAAAUGUUCACAGGGGGGUCACGGUGUGUAAAAUGACCAUUUUGCCUCUCGCCAUUGUUGUCUUCUUCCUGAGCUUCCUCAGCCGCCCCUUCGAUCCGCCGCUAUUUCCACCUCAAUCGGCCACGAUUCCUCUCCAAUUUCUUCUCCACCUGCUCUCCUUCUCCUCCUACAUCGUCGCCGCCCAUCGAUUUCGGCGACAGUAGGGAGGAUACUAAGAUAGGUGUUGAUGGAGAGGUAGGCAGGGACAACGAGGGCGAAGGCGAGGUGGCGGAGGAGAACGAAAGGGAUGUGGGCGAGCGCGAAGCAGUGGAGGACGGCGAGGCGGCGAGGCGGCGAAGCGGCGAGCCGGAGGGAGCGAAGCAUCAGAGAAGAGGCAGAGGGGUAUUUUCGGUAUAAAAAAAUAUUUUUUAACAGAACCCCUAACGGAACCCUAACGGUAGGGGUGAAAUGCACAUUUUUCAUUUUACAAGGGGGCAAAGUGUAGGUUUUUAAAUGUCAGGGGGGAAAGUGAAAAAGCGGGUUAUUACAGAGGGGUUUUCUGUAAUUUAGCCUUUCUUUUAUGCAUUUGACAUGCAAAAAGUAAAAAAAAUGAAAAAAAAAAAAAGGGGCGGGGUGGGAAAGAAAUCUACGUGGGAAGAAAUAAAAAUAAAUAUUUGGAGAAGAUAAAUUUGAUGAUGAGAAGAAUCAAAUAGGCUAAAUUGCACUGUUGGUCCUCAAGCUAUUAAUUUGUUAUAAUUUUUUUUUUUCAAACUUUUUAGAUUGUCGCAACCGAGUAUUUCAAUGCAAUUUAGUUAAGUAAAUAAUGGUGUCUCUGGCAGUGAUACAGCAUUAUUAUAGUUAAUGGCGUAUAUGAAUAAUUAAGAGGCAACAUUAUCAUCACAUUAUUAUUCAACCAACAAAAGUACACUCAUUAUGGCACUCGAUUGCAACUAAAUAGAAAGUACGUAGGGGCCGUUUAGUUAGAUGUAAUUAUAAAUAUAGUGUAGUUAAAGAUGCAAAUAAUUAAAAAUACAGCAGUUAUAACUAUAUGAAUCUUAUUUGGUUGGAUGUAGUAGAAAGCGCUACAAGUAUAAAUAAUUUAUUUGGUUGCAUUAAGUUGAGAAAUAAUUUUUAAAAUUUUAUUAUUUUAUAAAUAUAAUGGUGAGAUUACCUCCAAUGUAAAAAAGAAAAAUAAUUUUUGUUUUAAAAAUAUUGAGGAGGUAAGCAUAUCUUUUGUUUAAAGUUAUUCUCUCCAACUACUGUAGUUGGAACUAUGGCCAAUUUGGGCGUAGUUCGAACUGCUACAGUUGGGCCUCCUCCUGUAGUAGUUGGAGGUAAAUACAUCAAACAAAACACGAAAUUUGCAUUUACAUGCAGUUACAACUGCAAUACACCUGCAAUUACAUGCAACCAAAUAGCCCCUAAAUAUUAUAACAAAUUCAAAUUUGCGGACCAAAAUGCCACCGGUCCCAUAGUUCGAAUGAAUCGAUGUCAAUGUUUACAAGAACCAAAACCGGAACAAUAUUAGACUACUCAGUUGCGCCUUAACAAUAUAACUUUGCAAGGAGUACUUUUUCUCAUUCUAUCGAACAAAGAGUAAAAUCUAAUUAUAUUGUUCUAUUAUGCUCCGAGAGAGUAAAUUUGGAACUAAUCGAUGUCAACGUUCAUAAGAACCAAAAUCGGAACAACAUUAGAUUACUCAGUUACGUCAUAACAGUAUAACUUUGCAAUGGGUACUUUUUUCCAUUCUAUUGAAUAAAGAGUAAAAACUAAUUAUAUUGUUCAAUUAUACCCCGAGAGUUAUAAUUUCGAACAAAUCGAUGUCAACGUUAAUAAAAAUCAAAACCGGAACAACAUUAGACUACUCAGUUGCGCCAUAACAGUAUAACUUCGCAACGAGUACUUUUUCUCAUUCUAUCGAACAAAGAGUAAAACCUAAUUAUAUUAUUCUAUUAUGUCCCGAGAGUGUAAAUUUAGAACGAAUCGAUGUCAACCUUCAAAAGAACCAAAACCGAAAUAACAUUAGACUACUCAGUUGUGCCCUAACAGUAUAAUAUUGCAACGAGUAUUUUUUCUCAUUCCAUCGAACAAAAAGUAAAAACUAAUUAUAUUGUUCUAUUAUGCUUCGAGAGUUGUAAUUUCGAACGAAUCGAUGUCAACGUUCACAAGAACCAAAACCGGAACAACAUUAGACUACUCAGUUGCACCCUAACAGUAUAACUUUGAAUGAGUACUUUUUCUCAUUCUAUUGAACAAAGAGUAAAACCUAAUUAUAUUAUUCUAUUAUGCCCCGAGAGUGUAAAUUUGGAACGAAUCGAUGUCAACCUUCACAAGAACCAAAAUCGGAAUAACAUUAGACUAUUCAGUUGCGCCCUAACAGUAUAAAUUUGCAACGAGUACUUUUUUUCAUUUUAUCGAACAAAGAGUAAAACCUAAUUAUAUUGUUCCAUGAUGCCCCGAGAGUGUAAAUUUGGAAUGAAUCGAUGUCUCAAUCAACGGCGGUUGAGUAACCACAAGCACGCUAAGUUUUCCGUCGACUUCCUACUUAGCGCAUCCGCCACCACGUUAGCCUUACCCGGGUGGUAAAGUAUCGUCAAAUUGUAAUAUUGAGUAGCUCCAACCAUCUGCGCUGCCUCAAGUUCAACUCCUUCUGAGUGAAUAAAUACUUUAAACUCUCGUAACCCGUAUAUAAUUCGCAUCGCUCACCGUACAGGUAAUGGCGCCAUAGCUUCAAUGCAAAGACCACCACCGGCGCCAACACAUUGUCACCUCGACAUCACCGGCGCCGGCACAUUGUCAAAAUUAAUUUUAAAUUUAAAUUUUGUUCAAAAAUUUUAAUGUGAAUUCAUUAACUUAAAAUUUAAAAUUAAUUCAAAUUUUAAAAUUUGUAUACACGUUAAAAUUAAUUGUAUAUUAUAAAAUAAAUAUGAAAAGUAUUUAUAGUGUAACUAAAUUAAAAAUAUAUAAAACUUAUCCGAAGAUAAAUUAAAGUUAAAAUUUGAUAAAUAGACUCAUACCACCAAUAACUAUUUAAAUUUAAAAUAUAAAUAUAAAUUUUAUUUAAUUUAAUGUGACGUGCGUUGCACGUGCACUAUGACUAGUAUUUCAAAAAUAUAAACUUUUGGAUAGUGAAUUGAUUAUAAAAAAUUCUUCAAAUAUAUCCUUAUCUCUAAGAUUUACUAAUAACACUUAAAUUUUAGAAAGAUAUAUUUAAAAAGAAAGGAUAAAUUUAAAAAUUUUAAAUGAUAAAUAAGAAUAUAAAAGCAAAAGUCCUAAUAAUAAAUUAUCUUUUCUUCCUAUUCAUCAAUAAAUAUUAAAACUGUUUUUUUAUUUUAUUAUUAAAAAGAAUAAAUAAAUCCAACUCAAACCGACCUUGCUUUUAAGCGUGGAAAACAUCCUUCGUUCCUAGAAACUUCUCAACCAAUCGUAUCCUGCCACGCGUCCUCUCCUAGUAAAUCCCGCGUCCCGAUGACUCGUUCUCGUAUCCGAAACCGACACGGCUGAGGAGGCCACCAACGUCUAUAAAUACCCAAACGAUCCCGACCCUUUCCUCCGUCCUCGCAUCAUCUCCAUGGCGGUCGGUAGGGUUACGAAUUUGUGAUCGCUAGGGACUAGGGAUGCGAAUUGUGAUCGCUAGGGUUUCAAUCUAGUUUUCCAUCGUGAUCGCUAGGGUUUCGACCUACGGUUCUUCUUUGUUGUUUGAUCGUUGUUGUUUGUGAUCGUUGACGAGUUUUUUGAAGGACCUGGCAUGGCGGAGUUUGGGAUGUUCUAAGCCCUAUCUUCUCGAUGAUCGCUAGGGUAAUACCGUUCAUCGCUAGAAUUUCGACAUAUGAUUCGUCAGCUUUGUUGUUUGAUCGUUGAUAUUGGUGAUCGUUCAUGAGUCGUUGUUGUUUGUGAUCGUUGAUGAGUUUUUUGAAGGGUCUAGCAUGGCGGAGUUUGGGAUCUUCUAGGCCGUAUCGUCUGCAUGGCGACCGCCAGGGUAAUUUCGACAUAUGAUUCUUCAUCGUUGUUGUUUGAUCGUUUUUAUUGGUGAUCGUUCGUGAGUGGUUGUUGUUUGUGAUCGUUGAUGAGUUUCUUGAAGGGUCUCGUAUGGCGGAGUUUGGGAUCUUCUGGGCCGUAUCGUUUCCGUGGCGACCGCCAGGGUAAUAUCGUUCGUCGCUAGAAUUUCGACAUAUGAUUCUUUGUCCUUGUUGUUUGAUCGUUGUUAUUGGUGAUCAUUCAUGAGUCGUUGUUGUUUGUGAUCGUUGAUGAGUUUUUUGAAGGAUCUGGCAUGGUGGAGUUUGGGAUCUUCUGGGCCUUAUGGUCUCCAUGGCGACCGCCAGGGUAACAUCGUUUGUCACUAGAAUUUCGACAUAUGAUUCUUCAUCGUUGUUGUUUGAUCGUUUUUAUUUGGUGAUUGUUCAUGAGUCGUUGUUGUUUGUGAUCGGUGAUGAGUUUCAUGAAGUAUCUCGCAUGGCAGAGUUUGGGAUCUUCUAGCCCCUAUCGUCUCUAUGGCGAUCGCCAGGGUAACAUCGUUCGUCACUAGAAUUUCGACAUAUGAUUCUUCAUCGUUGUUGUUUGAUCGUUGUUAUUGGUGAUCGUUCAUGAGUCGUUGUUGUUUGUGAUCGUUGAUGAGUUUUUUGAAGGAUCUGGCAUGGCGGAGUUUGGGAUCUUCUGGGCUCUAUCGACUCCAUGGCCAUCGCCGGGGUAAUAUCGUUCCUCGCUAGAAUUUUGACUUAUGAUUCUUUGUCCUUGUUGUUUGAUGGUUGUUAUUGGUGAUCGUUUAUAAGUUGUUUGAAGGAUCUCACAUAACCACGCUUGAUAUCUUCAACACACUAUCACCUACAUGGCGUUCGUUAUGGUAACAUCGUGGUUGUAAGAGUUUUGAUGUAGGAUUCUUUUGUGGCUGUUAGAUCGUGGUGUUUUCUGUGAUUGUUGAUUAGUUUUUUUUUUUUUGAGGGAUUUGUGUGGCGGCUGGGAUCUUCGGCGUGAUCGUUUCAUAUGAGCUUAAUGCGAUGCUGUUAGUUCUCAUACGUCGUUCUCUAAUGGUAUAUACGAAAUUGUUAGCCUGUUUGAUUUGAUGUCCGUGUCAGGUUUAUUGAUUAUGAAGUGGAGUGAUUCAGAUUUGAUCUGAUACUCGUUCAGUAGCAGAGGAAUUUAUCAAAUUUGGAGUAAUUUUAUGUUUUUGGAUUCGGUCUUUUGUGGUUUUACUUGAUGGUUUUGUUAUGAGGUUUCUAUUAAUCUGGUUUAUUAUUUAUAUUCAGGUUUGGUGGAUUUUUUGUUCUUGUUUGUAGCAGAUGAAUUUGAUGGAUUCGUGGAUUGCGUCUUUUGUUGGUUUUACUUGAGAUUUGGUUCAAUUUGCUAUCAAUGGGUGUUUUUGAUGUUAUGAUUAAGAGGAUUCUUCUAUUAGCUUUACAAAGAGAUGAAUUUGAUGGAUUCGUGGAUUGCAUCUUUUGGUGUUCGGUCUUUUGUUGCUUUUACUUGAGAUUUGGUUCAAUUUGCCAUUAAUGGGUGUUUUUUGAUGUUACGAUUAAGAGGAUUCUUCUAUUAGCCUUUGUUCUUUCUGUUGGACUUUCUGGGCUCCUGAUUGUCAGCGAGUUCUUUAAUGGAGAGGAGUAAUUUAAAAGGUUUUUCAUGUGGUCUUUUUUGGUAUCUACUUUAUGCGAUCAUCAUGUACUGUUGGAUAUUAAAUUUUGGCCUGUUGAUUAUUGUUGAUAUCAAGUGUUUUUUGUUCCUCUUCUUGCCUAGAGUGAUCUAAUGAUCUCAAAAGAACAGGGGAAGUGGCAGAGUAUAGUGAUAAGUGACUAUUAGAGGUGAUUGAAGAGAUGAGUGGCAGGGAUCAACACUUACCAUAGCAGGCUAGCACAUGCAGGACCAUUGGGAUUUGGAUGCCUUGCAAUGUUGGUGAUAUAACCUCUAUAACAAAUGAAUUUCUACUUUAAUAGUUGGAUGCUUUGCAACAGUGAUCAAUUUCUAGUUUUAACACUUGGAUCUGCAGUCAUUCAUAAACUUUACUCCUCGAGCUUGUAGUUCUUUUGUACAGCCAUCUAAAGUGCAGAUUUGAAAGCCUUUUGCACUAUACUGUCAGCAUUGGUGUCUACAAGCUUAUGCGAAGAGCAGGAGUAGUGUUGAAUCAUAAUAGGAAAAACUUCAGGGAAGCCAACUUAUGGUAUAGCGCAUUUUCUGUUUGCCGUUUAAAAUGCACUUGCUCUAUUAUAGUUUCAGUUUAUGUUUUUCUUAAGGACCUGCUAUUAUGAAGGUUGUCUGAGUGUUAGAUUUUAUCAGCUAUGAAGUAGUGAAGUGCAAAUCAUAGGGUGGUGAAGUGCUAUAUUUUAUCAACCUGUUAUUCAUGGAACGUAUAACUGUCUUAUCCUUUUAAUAGCAGGUUCGUACAGAAAUCUAAGGCAAAAUCACAGGGGGUUGAAAAAUUCUACAAUUUGGAACUGCUGGGCAGUGCAAAUGUUAUUACAGCAGGGAUCUUUCUGACGCUUUCCCUAAUUUCUAGUAAUAGUUGUUCUACCUGAUUAUAGAGACUAUAGUCUCCUUUAUGUUUUGCUUUCAUUUUUGAUUCUGCAUUGCUUGUUCAUGGAAAUUAUUUGUCUAGUAGGAUCGGGAGUCUGUCCAAGUUGCUUACAACUCUUCUGUGCCUAGGGAGCUUUCAAAGCUUGCUUGGUCAAGGAUUAUUCUGUAUCUUUCUCAGCAACUUGUUGAUAUAUCUCGUUCUUUUUUAUGAUUUCUGGUAUCUGCUUGGUUCUGUUUAUCACUUGACUUGUCUUUGUUGGAGUUUUAGAGUUAAAGGAUGAUUUAAUAAAGAGAGAGGCACGACAAUAAUGGUCAUCGACUUGCCUUUCUUUUAACCUUUUCAAAGUCAAGAUGAGUUGAUGAAGAGGCAGGUGCGGCUACAAUGGUCAUUGACUAGCCUUUGUUGCCAGAGAAGGAUCUAAUGAAGUUAUGGUUAUAUCACCUUUAUGUGUAGCUGGUCUUAUCAUACUGAUGCAAGGGUGAGCUCAAGUAGAUUGGUGAUUUUAUCAUAUAUAAGUAGCAUUCCAGUAUAUUGGUGAUAUGCACUCUCUAACUUUUCUUUCCACUGCAGUUGGUGGAGCAGUAGCACACUUGUUUCUAUUGUCACUUUUCUAGCUUGAUUAUCUCCUAUCCACUUUAUGCAGAUUUAUUUCUUGUAGCACUUUUGAAGUCUACCAAUCAAAGUUGCUUUAGAUGAAGAGGUAAAGGGAUUCUUCAAAAUUGUUUCCUUUUUUGAUUUCUACCAUCAAGUUUUUUGCUGUUCUCUCUCCAUUUGCUGACUUGUUAUUUUGUCGAAGUUGCUCAUCAUAAUCUUCUUUGAAAAGAUACAAUACUGUGAUCCCUAUUCUAUUUCAACAAUUCUUGUUGUUUCAGUUGUCUCUAAGGUUCUUCUUGAAGGUCAUUUUACGGAGUUUGCUUGUCAGAAAUGUAAUACUGAUUUUCUUCGUUGGUAGUUAUUCUCGCUUUUUUACCGAGUUAUUCUUCGUUGGCAUGUGCAGUGGAGCUCAAAGGUUUUGAAGUUAAAUUUAAUGAUCCUAAUGGGAAGCUCAUCUAUUUUGGUGUGAUAUUGAUGGAUCUUAAGUUCUCUGCGGUUCAUAUAAUUAUCCUUAUAAAGAGGAGGCUAAGCUGUACUGGUGAUACUGAUUUUGCCAUGACGUCUCUGAGUAGUUUGAUUAUUUAGGUUAUAUACAAAUUGGCAUUAACAGUACUAUUGAGUUCAUGAAGCAAUUGCUUAUUUGCUUAUGGUUGCUUAGUUCGUCUUAGACGGCAGAUGGACUUUAUACUAGUUAUUUUGGUUAAUAUCUACCUGUCUGUUUGGCCAAUACGGUUAUAUCUACUUGCUUUUGUGAAGUUGAUCUCUCUUCAUUUAUAAUUCUUGAUUUCUUUGACCCUGCUUUUCGCUUUUGUUAGGAUGGUUCUUGAAAAUCAUUUUUAACUAUAUUGAGCAUGCUCUGUUAUAAUGUUGAUGUCACCUUGCAAGUCUCUUAAUUUUUUUUUCCUCUUUUUUUCUUGGAUUUACAAUUUAUUCUGACUGUCUAUUUGGAAUUGAAAUAUUGUGGACUCAAAAGAAUCUUGCAGCUUUUAUAGUCACGGAUUGUUUUGUUGAGCUCUGAUGUAGAAUUAUAGCUUUGAUCAAAAUUGUAAGGUAUGCUUGUAUUUGUUCUGCCAGUGCUCAUUUAUGUAGUGAUCUUACGAGCUGGCAUCUCUACCUUGUGCGAAUGUGGCGGUGUUAUUCGGGUCUGACAAAAGAAAAUUCAACUAACAUUCUUAUCGGUCCUGCAUAUUAUUAGUACAUUUCACCUUCAUUCUUGUUAGGCCUAUUCUCUGUGGUCAUUUUACCAGUGGAGUCCAAUAUGUGAUCAAGUUGUGCAUGAAUCUUUUGUCCUCACAAUUCCAAUCACCGGUUUGUCUAAAUGCUUUGCUUAGGAAUUUCUGCUAAUUGUUAGUAUCACUAUGGCUUUUAUUGGCAUUUAUCGCUUGAUCUGCAUGAUUUUGUUGUGAGUUGCCAAUGGAAAGGGAGGAGCAGCUACUGUUGAUGGUGAUUUUAUGUCAGGUUGUGAUUGGAGUUAAACAUACAGAAAAGGAUUCUACAAUAUAAUGGCGGUAUUGACUUGCUUUAUAAUGAUUCUGUUUUCUGUUUGAAUUUUGGCAUAUGCAUUUUCUUUUACUGGUCUUGUUUCUGAAACUUGUUGCACAAGUUGGUUAUCACUGUCCAUUAUGCUCGUUUGUUCGAAAAUUUUCUAGUAUAUCUGUGUAGUUAAUGGAAUUCGUUUCUACUGGCUUUUGUUUAUUGACAGUAUUUGGGAGUAACAGAGGGAUUCUAAAAGACAUCUUUGUUCAGUAUCAGAUAUGAGAUGGGGAUGCUUCAGAUUACCUUCUUCCAUAGAGAUGGAAUUCUCAAAGAAGAAACCAUUUCUCUGUUCUCUAGUUUGAUCAUUCAAAUUAUUCCAGUUCAAUUUCUCUGUGAGUUCUUGAUAAUCUAAAUCGUUCAUUUUCUAGGUCAAUGAACUGGUUGUGAUGCUUUCCUCUCAAGUAGAGUUCGAACUGCUCCCUUAUAACACAAAAUUUAGGUUGUAUCUACUAGCAUUUCCAUUGUUAAGUAUCAGCAUUAAUGAACAGUUAGCUGAUUACUCAUUCUACAGUUGUUCUUUUGUCAUGUCUUUCUUUUGGGAAAGAGGAAGAGACCUUUUCCCGCUGUCAUGUCUUUCUUUUGGAAAGAGGAAGAGACCUUUUCCUGUGUGUUGAAUGUUGAUCAUUCAAAUUACUACAGGUAAAUCUCUGGACAUUCAGUUAGAUUGUUUCUGCAUUGAGUUUCAUUCUCCUUGAGUUGGUGCUGUCUUUCUUCACAUGUUUAUUCAAUGGUUCUUGGUUGUUGGUUAUUUCUAUAGAUUUCUGUUGCACCAUUUACCUACCAUCUUAUCAAGGUGAUGUUGUGGGUUUGUCGUGAUCUAUAGAUGAAAAUAUGACUUCAUGUCUUGUUUCGUGACGCUGCUAGAGUCUUGGGGCAACUGACUUGUUCUUGGGAUGGUAUGUCAAGGUAAUAAUCUGGGUUUUCUAAGUUUGUUAAUUUCUGCAGUCAGGCUUCUCUUUCGGUAACUAGAUUGACACUGGAUCAUCGGUUGGUUGGGGUGCCAUGGAUCCGGUAAGACCAUGUUGGAUUUGGUAUUUUUAGCUUACAAUAGUGUGCAUCAUGUGACUACAUAAGAGAUAUUGUAUCUCUGUUCUUCCUCGUAUUAUAGGUACGCUUAGCUUUCAGUGGGGCUUGUGUAGAUCAAUAAACAAUUGGGAUUAACUUCCAGGGUGUACACUACUAUUAUUAAUGUUUCUCUUUAACUAUUCUACAAAUUUUUUUGAGCCUGGAUUUCGGCCUUUUGUGGCAUGUAGAUGCAUUACAAUUUUGGCCAGAUUUGUGAGGCAACUUCAGUUUAAAUAAAAAGUGUCAUUUCUUGUUGUCCGAAGGAUCAACAAAAUUGGUAUCUAAACCAGCUCUUUAUUCCAAAGAUCAAGUGCAGUGUAUAGGUAUGCCAUUAGCUCUUCCAGCUCUUUCAAGUGAUCAUUCAUAUCAUUGUAUUCGUUGGAUUGUUUUUUUAAGGGUUUACUUUCCAGUGGAUCUGAUGUUUUCCAAGUUUCUCAAUCCUUCCAAGCUAGGGGAGCUUUUCCAUCACUCUGCUACUAACGCUCUACUUCAUCUUUCAAGAGCUUGCUCAUCUUUGCCUUUGCAUUUUACUGAUUUUACCUAACUGCUUUGGUGCUAUGUGUGUUCUUUGUUGGAGGUUGGGAGUUAAAGCAUGAGUCAAUCAAGGGGGAGGCCUGAAUAAAUGGUCAUAUCGAUGGUUGGAGCUGUCAUAUGAAUGAAAUGGAGUGCUAAAGUACAAUGGUAAUAAAAUCAUGAAAAUGAGGAGAGUUCUCUACAAUCAUGGUGAUGUAGUCUAUUGAUUGUACUUGCUCCUGUUCACAUGGUUGAAUCACACUUUCCCUUAGUUGGUCUUCAAGAUUUGAUUAAUAAUAUCAGUCACCUUUGUCGGAUUGUGCUGAGUUGUUUGGUCUUCAUCUUUUCUUUGCAGCGGAGUGAUAAAGAUGGUCUGUUAGCACCUGGCUGUCAGGACUUGGUGUAGAUAAGGGCUAAUUCCUUAAUAACUAUCCAUUCUUCUCUUUCUACCUUCCAAGCUAAUUGUUGUUACAUUUUUCGCUUGUUUUGAAGGUUUAUGAAUGUUGGCCAUAGCAAUUUCGUUGAAGAGAGUUUGUUCUUAGUUACCUAACAAUUCUUCUAGUUUCUACCGUCGUCUUCUAGUUUCUACCAUUCAAGUUAUUGUUGUCACAUUACUCUCUGCAUUAUUGGCAGGCUUCUCGUAAAGGUCAUGUACUGAAAGUUGAUAGCCGUACUUCAGCUCGAAGGGAGUUUUUACUCGAUUACCAAAUAAUGACAUCAAAUCCUUCUUAGGUUGCUGGUUUAAUUCUAUUUUCACUAGCUGAUUGUGGCAUCAUCAAUAGUGUAUGCUUUCUUCUCCGUAUCAUGUCUAGUUAUUUAAAUUCUUGUUUUUGUGAUUUCCUUGGAGUUCUAUGCUAUUAUGUACCUAAUGGCAUGUGCAAUAUCUAAUAUGGUGCUUGGCAGAGCUGUGGUCAUGAUUUGGACAUGAUCCGGUUUAGUUUGGGCUGAGGGGGAAAAUUGAAUGGAAUUAGUUAAAUUGGUUUAACAAAAAUGAAUGCCAAAAUCAAAUUGAAAGGAGCUAACACACAGUCAAACCACUUUGAUUUAA
rnacentral:lncRNA from 1 species